rnacentral:lncRNA from 1 species
AUUCAUUCAAGAGUACUUCAAAAUUAGAUUUUCAAGGUUUGUAUGUUUAGUUGCGAUCAAAAUGUUUAGUCACUCAUUCGUAAUCUUUUCUGAUUUUCAAGUUCUUUAGGGCCAUAAACAGUUUUCCAACUCAUUCUUAAUUUUUAGGUUGAUUUCGAGUACCCUGUUGAGGACAUUCCUGACACCAAGGAUUAGGCUGGCGAAGGAACUACUACCUCUGUUGUCAUUGUGCAAGGUUUGAUCAUUCGACCUUGAAUAAGAAUGCCUUACACGCAUUCUGUAAUUCAAGCAUUCUCUAAAGGAAAAGAGCAGUAGAAGGGAUAGUGAUGGCCGGAUCUGCUCUAUUUUAGUUGAAGAUCUCUGUGAUGUCGAUGAACUUAAAGCAGUUGAUACUUCUUCAAAAUUGUUAUUACGGAUGAAUUGAUUCCUGGAGACGGGUAUCCAAAGGCGUAUUUUCAUAAACUUCCUUCUUUAACAAAUGUUCCAACGCUUGCUGUAGUAACAAUUUCAUAGCUUGCAUCUCUCGGGUGCGUCAUGUUCACGGGUUGGAAAAAGCAUUUGUCGUAAAGCUUCAAAGCUUGUAAAAUGGCUGUGAAAAGGCACAUUCAAUUCGGUAUGCUUUGGUGCGGUCUCCUAAUGCUAAUAUUAUAUUUUGUAUAGCAAUCUUAGUAUGCAAAAAAUCAUUGUGUCCAAAGUUUUCUAUUAAUUAUAUGGUGACUGAAAUUUUAAUUAUCAUAUAAAUCUUAAAAAUUUUUGUAACCCUAUUUUACUUUGCUUGUACAGAAUACCUGUUUUCGCUGAUAUGUCGAAUUCCUAGAAAUUCAUUUCCAUCGGUUUCCAUUGGUUUUAGCACAAACAGAAACAUAGAGCCCUGGGAAAAAGUUUUACUUUUGGUGGUAUUAUGCCUUAUUUUCUUCAUUCAUCAUAUUUGUUUCGAAUUCAUGCUCUCAUUCAGAGAGUAAAGCCUUUUCCAGGCUGCUUUGUAGCCAAAUUUUGAUGCCAUCGAUGCGUGAUUGUCAUUUAGAUCUUCGAAAUAAUUGUUAGAUUGGAGACGAAUCAGAAGAUAUUGUUCAAAGGGUAUUUAAUUAGCACCCUCUGAAUUUAGUUGGCAAUAAUGCAUUGAAAUGGUUGGGGAAAGUUAUUGUCUUAAUUAAAUUACAGGUGAUAAGAUGCUGCUUCAAUUUUGCAAGCAUCUUAUACUGCGAAGAUUCUGCCCACAUGAGAUGCUGUGAUUCUUGACGUCAGGAUAACACAGGUCAAAUUUUAGUAUCAAUAUAUAUCAUCUUCUUUACUGUUCUGCCUCUAAAUAUUAAACUUUAAGCAAGUUGUCUGUGAAUGUUUUCCUUCAAUAUUAAUACACUGGCAUUUCUUAGUAAAUUCUCUUCACGUCACUUCCUCCUUGUUGGUGGGAUUAGUAAACAAAUGUCAUUUCUUAGUACAUUUUGAGAAUUUUGACUCCCAAAUAAGCCUGCAGAGCGGUGUAUGGUGGGAUUAGCUGCGGGAUUCUUUGCCAAACUUCCUUUUUAUUCCUUUGUUCACUUAUUCGUUAUAAAUAAAGUAAAAUUAGAAUAUUGUUCCGUUUACUGUCUAAGCUGGUCUAACAUUUGUUUAAUUUGGGCAAUUUUUAAUGCCUAACAGGUUAUCUGUGACAAACCCAUCGGUGAGUGUAUGCAACUAUUGCGUGGAUUUGAUAGAGUGGUCACCAACAAUUUUGAAGUUAUUGGAGUAGCACGGCUUUGAGGUCUCCCCCUCCCUCUUUUACGUAUUUGUCUAUUGAUCGACAUGUCUAUAUAUACAUUGAUAGACCAACUUACUCUUGUUUUAAUGUUUUGUUUGUUAAACUUUGACUGGGGAAAGUUUAUUUGUCUCAUAUGAUGUCAAUGUGGUUCCUAUUGAAGUGUAUAGAUCUGUCACCUCAAAGUCUGAUUUCAAUUAAUUUUCCUUUACUUCAUCAACUAGCAUCCUUUCCAAGUCCAGAUACUUACCAAUAGUGAGACUUUGCUACGGAAGUACAAUUUCUCUUGUUUUACAGUUAAUUAUGUAAGAAAAGUUUUAAAUUUACAGAAUUCUGAUAUAGCUCUCUUAAGGAAAUGCGAGUGGUGAAUAUGGUUCCAACUUUUAAUAGGCUUAAUAGGCCCAUUUGUUGAGCCACAGUGAUUGCGGUCUAAAUUCUUCUUUACUGUCUAUAUGUGUUGGAGUUUGUCUAUUGUCCAACUUCUCAAAUCGAUUCCAUGCAGGGUUUUGAAUGUCUAAUUAGGAGAAAGAUUAACGGAUGACCUUUUGAAGAAGGCUUACACAACAGGCCAUCUCAGGAUGUCAUGGCUCAGCUCAAAAGUCCCCAGGUGGUUGAUAUCAAAGAAUGCCAUUGUUUCUGGGCUUGGUCUCCUUGGCAUCAAACAAGAUAAUGUUGACUCUAUUAAAGGGGAAAUAAGGGCAACUAAAGCGCGAAGAAAGAGGAUAGUCCGGAGGAAGGUGACUGCAUAAAUUUGUUGGAGUUAAUGUAGUCAAUUGCCCAAUUUUGCUGCCUGUCGAAGAGACACAUCAUGGAAGUCCUCAUCAAACUCUGAGACACCUAAGAAAUAGUAGGAGGUGGUGGUACUCGCCUGGGGUUAAUUUCCUGGCAAGUAUAGUUCACUGAUAGAGGGAAUCUUCUCUUGAUGUGUAAAUACCGUAUGUGAUACAAUGUCGUGUAUAUUCUAAUUUUCCUUGAGUUAAAUUCUAGUCAGUUAGGAAAGUUAAUUUUGUUUUCGCUAUGGAUUGUUUCCUAGAUAAAAAUAGUUUCCAUGUUCCUUUGGGGUCUUAUUAACUCUCUGUAACCCAGUUCAAGUUUGCAAAUUCUAUUUCAGAUUUCUCAUAUAGUGUGCCUUUGUCACUUCUGUGAUACACUUUUGAUCACAAGUUUCCAUUUGAAGUAGCCAAUAUUCUUUAUAGACUAAUUAUCUAAGGAUUAUUUUAUCCAAAAAAUCAAAACUUUAAUUAAUUGAUCAUAACUUAACUUAGCUCUUGUUUGAUAUUACUAGCUGUUGUGAGAAAAAAAAAAUAACAGAAAGUUGACAAUGUGCAGUAAAUGUAUGACUUUUAAAUAAUAAUUUAAUAAAAUUAAUAAAGAUAUUAUAAGUUUUUUAAUAAUAAAGUAUGAGAUCAAAUCAAAUUAAAUUUUAAGUCAAAAUAGCAAAUAUUUACUUAAAUUGUUUAAUUAUGUAGCUUAAAAGGUAUAGUUGUCCAACCUCAACACAAUAUCGAGAUUUACCGAACUCUACCCGACUUUAGUUGUACUGACUCGAUCAUGCAAGUCCACACUCGACGCGUUGACCAUACAAGAUGUUACUCAACUUUAACAAAUCUUACUCAAACUUUGCACGUUCGACAUGCCGGAUGGAAAAUGACAGUAUAUGAUAGUAAUAGAAUAUUAUAAGAAUAGUUAUAACAUGAUUAUACUUAGUACUAGUUUAUAUUUUAUGUGAUGUAUGUAGUAUAUGAAUGGAUUAUAUUACAAAUUUUAUUGUUAUAAUAAUUAAAAUUUUGAAUUAUUUUAUUAUUGAAAAAAUGUAAUAUGUUAAAUAAUAAUAACAGUUAUUUUUAUUAAGUAUUUUUUUAUGUAAUGAAUUAUACUUUUAAAAUAAAAUAAAAAAUUCUUAUUACUGAACUGAUAAAAAAUUAAUUAUUUGAGUUAUCUCCUAAACUACUUAACUCACGACAUAAAGUCACUUAGUUUAAAACGAAGCGGUGAGUUUUACGUGGGAGCCACGUCCUUUCCACAUCAACCUCAACAUCCAAACAUGAAAUUGGACUAAAAAUAGUUCUUUCCAAUGUAUUUGCGUAACCUCCUCCCACUAAACGCAAAUAUGUAUUCUUGAGUGCAUAAUUACUAACAUAAUUUUCUCCCUUUGCCAUAUUGUCGACGUUGAGUGCAUGUAAUCUACAAGUUUGAUUGAGCAGAAGAUGACGUUGUCACAAAGGCCUGGACACCAUACCUCGAACCCAUCCCUUUUUUUGUUCGAAAGAAAAGAAUGAUAUGUUGGUAUGAAAUUAUGUUAAAAUGAAUAUAUCACCUUUUUUUUCUUUUUUUGCGUGAGUGAUGGCUUUGUUUACUGACAGUUGACAGACAACGAGUUAUCUUUUAAUUUUGAUUUUGAUUUAGAUUUAAUACAAAAUAUUAAUUUUUGUAGUUUCGGUAGAUGAAAUUUCGAAUCAAAUAUUAAUAUUGUUAAAGUACGCAACCCAAUAUUUGCUUAAAUUACAAAAAAGAUUAAUUGCUUUGCAUAAAAAAAAAAAGUGAUCACUUGAUUUAACUUCCUUUACUAAAUUUACGAUUUAAAAUUCAAAAUAAAAAAAAAGGAAAACAAAUUUUGGAGACACACUCGGAGUUUUAAAUUGAUAUGAAAAAAGAGUUUAUUAUUGAUUAUCUUUUUCCCAAAAUUUAAGCUAAGACAGCAAUAUGUCCAAAAUACACUCCACAUUAUCCUAAAACUUUAUGAACUCCCCCGUUCCUCUCAACAUCAUCUCUUCCAAAUCUUUCUCCCCCCAAAAAACCAGCCAUGGCUUCAUAUUUAGUUAUCUCAACACUCCAUUAUUGGCUUGUAAACAGUAGCGGCUCGACCUCUAGGCAACUUAGGCGGUUGCAUAGGACUCCACUUUAUAUGAAAGCCCUACGAGAUGAUUAUUUUGUAUAUAAAAGAGGAAAAUGAAUUUAAAAGUCAUUAUUAUUAAUUUAAUUUAUUAUUAUUUUGUAAUUAUCUUUUUUAAAAUAAACUAUCAAAUUCCUAUAAAGUUUAUUUAAUAUAGUACUUAAUUGUUUAAUUUCUACAAAACCAAUAAAUUAAUAGUUUCAAUCUUAAAAAUUCUCUAUUUCAUUGUUAGAAUUAAUAAGUUAUAUUUCAAAAGUUUUAUAUUUAUUUUAAACCUCUAUAAAAGCCCCACAUUUUAUUACUUAUCCAUUAAAUUUUUCCUCCAACAAUCAAGACAUCUUGGUGUUUGAGUGAAAGAGAGAGGGAAAAAAAUCUUGCUUCGUGCCUGUUUGGUAUGACAUAUUUAAGAGCCAUAAGUGCUUAUUUAAUUAUAUAAGCACUUUUUAAAAUUUUUUAUGGUGUUUGGUUAUUUUUUUAGUAGAGUUUUUUUAACUUAAAUAAGCUAAUUUACCUCUACUAGCAAAAGCUCAAAAUUUGAGCUUUUGGAAGUAGAGGUUAUAGAGCUUUUCUAAAAAUAUAUAAUAUAAAAAAUAUUACACAGUUUAAUGAUUCAAAAGUACUUUUUUUAUUGACAACCAAACACCGAAUGACUUUUUGUCCAAAAGCUCUAUUGGUAUAAGCUCUACUGCUAUAAGCUCUAUUGUUAUAAGCUCUAUUUAAUAAGAUGUACCAAACAGAGCCUUCCUCUACUUUCUACUCUAGAAGAAAAAGAAAAAAAUCUAAUAGUUUUCUCUAUUUUCUAUGACUAUUGGUCGUUACUCAAAUUUUAAAACAAUAGCCUUAAUAUAAACAUAAGUUAAUUUAUGAUUUCAUCUCAAAUUUCUGAUUUUAUAUUUUUAUUAUUCUCUUAAUUAGUUGUGUUGUUAUUUGUUCUUAUUUCUUUUUAAUAUAUUCUUUUAUUCAUCUACUUUUUUUUGUGAUUGUUUUAUCUAUUUUGAAAUAAAACUAUAUCAAAAAACUUUAGACAAUAGAAGAAUAGAAAAAUUAGUUUAAUUUAGAAAAAAAAGUAAAAAAGAUAUAAUUUAACUUAAAAAAAUAAGUGGAAAUGUUAUAAUUGAAUUAAAAUUUUAUGAAUUAACAACAAUAAAAUAAAUUUUUAUUUAAUAAUUUUACAUUUUAAAGUCUUUAAAGAAUUAAUUUUAAUAAAUAAUAUAUAUAUAUAUAUAUAUAUAAGUUACUUAUCUCUCCAUCCUCACUUACCUCUCCCUCACAUUCAUCCUCUACCACACAUCAACACCAACAUCAACAUCAACACCAACAUCAGCAUCACUACCAUCAUCACCUCUCAUUGGACCCCACAUCCUCAAGCCCAUCACAGCCGUCCAUAACCUCACCCUCCUCCUCCUCUCCCUCAUCAUGGCCGUUGGUUGCCCUCUCUCCAUCAUCCUCCACUUACCCCACCUCCGUUACACCCUCCGUUUCCUCCUUACCAUUUCUCCGUCUGGCAUGGCCUAAUUCCGACGGAAUCAACGACGGUCGUGAUGGGUUUUGGCUGCGAUUAUUCGCGCUUCAAACGGCGGCGUUUCGAUUGGUUUUUGGCGACAGUGACGGUGGGAAAGUGAUGGCUGGCUCAGGAGCUUUCGUUGCUACCAUCCAUGGACGGUGAGGUGGCGGAAAAUCGGAGAUAUGUCUGGGUCGGGUUUUCCGGGUCAGUUUGACAGCUUCCUCUAUCCCUCUCCCCCAUAAAACAUUACCCAGCUUCCUCUUAUUAUUAUUAUUAUUUUUCACAUACGUUACAGAACAUUAAUGAGAGAUGUUUAGUAAGGACUAUAUUGAUAUUUCGAUGAGUAGUAAAAAUUAAUGUUAAAAUUUUAUAGACGAGUGUAUAGUAAGAUGCUCAAAGUAUUAGAACAUACAUAAAUAAUCCCAGCUCUAAUAAAUUUUAUCCCUUCAGCAAAACAUAUCGAUAAAGUAUACAAAAGCACAAGGCAUGAGUACAUGUCAAUAACAAAUGAAAGUAAUUAAGAUAAAGAAUAUGCUUUAUUUCCUUUUAUUUUCGUUUUUUUUUUUGGUGUCUUUUGAAAGGAGACCAACUAGAUCAUGCAAGAAGUUAAUUUUUUUUUUAAAUAAAAAAGGGAGAAAUGAUGGUCUUACAAAGUUCCAAUAUAAAGUUUAUAAUAUAAAAUUAAUGAUGUGACAAUUAAACUAAUGGAGUAAGAAGUCCCAAAUAGAUUAUAUUUUGCUAAAGAAGUCAAUUCUACCAAGAAUACCUCUUUCUAUUGAAUUUAAAUGAUGAUUAUUUUUUUAUAUCAUAAAAGCUAAAAUAAUUGUGUGAGUAAUUUGAUUCUUUUACACUAUAAAAAUAAAUUCAGAAAAUGUUAGGGCAUGUUCUGUAUUUUAUUUUUAAAUUCAUAUUAUGAGAAUGAAAAUGGUGUUUUCAAGUUUAUAAAAUUUCAAUUGAAAUAUGUGUUUGUUAUUAUUUUAUUUAUCAUAUAUUUUCAAAAUGAUAAAAUAAUGGAUGUAUUAAGCAAUUUUACUACAUGCAAAUUAUUAUCUGUGUUUAAAGUUCAUAUAAAGCUUGUUUAUUUUUCAACAUACCAACUUCCAAUAAUAAUAAUAAAAUUUUUGUGAUAUCCAAUAUUAACUUUUUAAAUUAAUUAUUUUUUGUUAAUGUGUCCGCUGUUCAAUCGAUCUUCCUACUUUCUAUGCUUGAGAUUAGAUCAUUUGCUUCAAAGAUUCGAACUGGACUUAUAGUAGGAAAAAGAAUUUUCUUCAAUAUGAACUCUAAUUCUCUUUUUUUAUAUAUAUAUAUAUAUAAAAUCUAAUUCUCCUUUCAACAUUUUAACAUUUUGAUGAAAUAAAAAAUUAUUGGCGAAAGAUUACAUGCUUCCUUACAUUAGAGAACCAAACACUCAGAUAGGUAGUGUAAAUCUCUACUGAUCGUUGGUGAUUUUAUCAAAAUAAAAUUCAAUAAAAUGUAUAAGCACACUUAAAUCCGUCCAAAAAAACAUAAAUGACCCAGCAAAUAAAGAAAAGUACUGUGAAGUAAAAAUUGAAAAGUACAAUCCGUCGAUCAUUUGAUACGUAUUUUUCUUCACAGAACCUCAAUUCAAUAGACAAAAGCUCCUCUUAAUUUUUCUUUUCUAUUUAAAUAAAAGAACAAACGAAAUUGAUUACGGAGCCAUUAAUUUCCAAGAAUUAAUAAAUGAAAAGGCCCAUAAUUUUUGUUAACCCACCCCACUCUCAAGAAAUAAUUACAAUAAGUUCAAAUUAUUUUUUAAAAAUUGAAAUAAAGAAGAUGUAAUUACAAUAAGUUUGGAGAUUGAAUCAAAUAAAAUAAAAUACCUAAACUAUUAUAAACAAGAACUCUUGAUUCUUGGGGUAUUUUAGUCAUUUUAUAUUAUCAUGGUAAAUUAGUCAAAUAAAACUUAUCUUAAAGCAACCUAAAUGGUCAAAGACACCUAAGUUAAAAAAAAAAUUAUAUGAAUGAUUUAAUUUAUUGAUUGUCUAUACGUUUUAUUGAUAUAUAUAUUUUAAAAAUAGUAUGAACGUAUUACAAUUAUUUUCUGACAGCAAAGUAGAUUUGUAAAAUAAGUGGGUAGAAAAUAUCCCCGUCCUCAAACAAAUAAAUGAAUUAUCGGUGAUGCAUGCUUUUUUCCAACUUUUGUUUUUUUUUUCUUUUGGUUUUUUGUUUUUGUUUUAAAUGGCAUUGGCCCGACCACUACAAAUUAAUUAGAGAAUAUUUACAAUUAUGUAUCACAGCUGUGGAGUAGAAUCAGGGAAAUUAAAAAUGCCAAAAUUAUUGACGCGUGGGUUAGGCGACAAUAACCAUAAACAUUUUUCAUGUAGUGUAAGAAGAAUGCAACAACUCGUUUCUUUCGGUAUUUUUGCAACAAAAGUACGUUGAACAACUUCCCGGAGCAGCUGAACUCCUUUGCUGCUUGUGACUUACCAUAAAUCUUCAAGCCAUUCAAGCUGUGCUUGAAGAUGCAGAGAAGGCAAGUUGAUAUAAGAUGGUUGCAUGGAAUAAGCAGGGUAUCUUCCGAGGCUAGAAAUUGGGCUACGAGUAUUCGUUUUGGACAUAUAAUAUAGUUUCCAAGCUUGCGAUGAGUCGAACCAAAUGCAGAACAACCUAGGCUGUUAUGCCCUGCGAUUGAGCUAAAAAUUUCACUUCUUUUAUAGUCGUUUUUCAGUUUUAAGAUAUUUUUUUAUUUUUCUUGAUUCUUCUAGAAUUUUUAUCAUUUUUUCUAGAUGUUGGAUUUAAGUGCCAUCUAUUUUCUUUCUCUUAUUUAGAUUCGAAGAAUUUUAUUAUCAUAUAAUAUUUUGAAUUUGCUUAGUUUGUUAAAUUUGCUAUAUUUAGGCUCCUAUAAAUGGGAUUCAAAACCCUAAUUUUGUUCAUUCAAAUUAUUCUCAAUAAAACUUAUUAUUCAAAUACUAGUUUAUAUUAUCUAAUAGCUUUUUAGUGUUUCUGCAUCAUCAGCUGGUAUCAGAGCAAGUUCACUUGUCAUCAUGGUGCGACCACACAAUCAAAGGAGCAACCAUCCUGGAGACGAUGUUCAAAUAUUAGGUUAUCUCUUGUAAGCCAUAUUCAUAAAUGUAUUGAGGGAAAGAUACUUUUUUCUUGUCUUAAAUGAUGUGUGGGAUGGACGUUAUAAUUAAUGGGAACCAUUCUUCUGUUGUUUAAAGAAUGGUCUCUACGAUAGUCAAAUUUUGAUUACUGCACGUAAUCAGUUAGUAGCAAGCAUGAUGAGAUCAACAAAUCUUACCUUUCUUAAGGAAUUAAUUGAAGAAGAAUGUUGGUAAUUGUUUAAGCAGGUAGCAUUUUUUGGUCAAUUCUUCAAGGAUCAUGAUCAAUCGAUCAAAAAGUUGCAUGCAAGUGCAAAGGUUUGCCUUUUGUUGCAAAGAUAAUAGGGAAAUUCUUACACUAUAAAUGACCAAUAGAAGAAUAGAAAAGAAUUUUAGAUAGUGGAAUGUGGAAGGUAGAAGAGUUUGGGAAAGGUCUUUUGACUCCUUUGUUGUUAAGUUAUAAUGAUUUAUCGUCCAUAGUAAAACAAUAUUUCUCACAUUGGGCUAUCUUUUCAAAAGGUUACAAUAUGUGUAAAGAGGAACUAAUUACACUAUGGAUGGCUCAAAGUUACUUUAAAUGUAGAAGAAGGCAUUGUCUAAAGCAUGGUCUCCAUGAAAGUAAAAAUUUGGUUUCCACACGUAAUGAGUCAGUUGCAUGUAUGAUGGGAUCAAAAAAUAUUAUCUUCAUUGAGCAAUUGACUGAAGAGGAAUGUUGGUUGUUGUUCAAGCAGUUAGCAUUUUCCGGUCGCUCUUUGGAGGAUGGUGAAAAAUUAGAACCAAUCGGACGAAAAAUUGCACGCAAGUGCAAAGGCCUGCCUCUUGCUGCAAGGUAACAGGGAAUUUAUAGGGGAUGAUAAAUGCAUAUAUAGUGGCCAAGUCGCUCAUUACAUUUCAUCUCUCAUACGAAUAUGAUUUUGAAUUUGAAUUUCCAUGAAUAAUUGUCGGGCUGGUGCAGAUAUUCUUAAAAGGGCAUUAAGCUACCUCAUGAAAUUGGAAAGUUAUCAUUGCUUGAAUGAAAGCACCAUCUUCUGUUGUCAAGGCUUUCCCCACACGAUGAGAUUCUGUGCUUGUUAUCGGCCCCUUAAUUAUUUAUUAAAUCAGGUUUUUAUUAUCAAGUACAUCAUCUUAUUCACCAUUUUGGCUAUAUAUAAAGAUUAAAAUUUCUAACAGUUGUUUUGGAUUCUUGUGUAAUCAGAUAAUUGGGGCAAAUGUCAGAAUGAGGAUUGUUCAGUGCUACUGGUACGGCAAUGAUGGUGAUGGUGAGGAAGAUUGUUCGCAAGCCAAAUUGAGCCCUCCAUUUUGUGAAAUAACAUCCUCAAAUUUGAAUUGUUGAGCACAUGAAGUGAUGCUAAAGCCUUAAUAAUAGGACCUUCCAAUGAAAGUUUCAUUUGAGUGAAUUAUGGGAGAAUGAAACUUCUUGGAGUGAGUGAGAAAUUAAGCAUAUAUCAGCGAUUAGUGAAUGUUUUUCUUUAACAUUAGUACACUCUUAUUUCUUAGUAAAAUUCUCUUCACGUCGUUGACUGUGACGUAGACCAAAAGCUGAACAAUGUAAAAUUAUAUUGUUAUUUCCUUAUGCUUGUUUUGCUAUAUAUCAUUUCUGUGCAAUCAAGAAUGUAAUUUUGUAAUUAUUCAACUCUGCUUCCGCAAACAUGCGGUAUCUUGCAGAUUUUUUUCUCCCUUUUUCUUUCUGCGUUAAAACUGCAACAAAUGGAAGUGACUGGCUUGAUCUUAGCUCCUGUAAAAAAGUGCUUGGGACAAUGUCUUUUGUAUCAGCAAGUUAUCGAACAUCAUAAUUUAAAUAUAGAAUCCUGAGUUGCUAUCGAAAAUUCCAGGUGUUUCACUUCUCAGUUUCUUAAAAGCUACAAAUCUUGAUAUAUAUUGACAAAGCAAACCGUCCGUGGGCUGAAAUGCUUCCACGGAUCAGGAAGGAAUUUGGUGUUGACACUGUAUGUUAUGCGGAUAACUACAGUUGAUGAUUUUUACCCAAAAUUUGUCACAGUUGACAAUUCACUUACAGUGUUUCCUUGUGUUAUCAGGCUCUCAUCUGUGAAUUGAAAGAUUAAGAAAGAUUGAUUCUAACUGACUUAUGCAAUUGAAGAUUAUGAAAAAGCAUUUGCACUAAAGUUCCCAGCUUGUUUAAUUUCUGUGAAGAGGCACAUUCAUUCUGAGUACUUGAGUUUUAGAUUUCCAAGAUGUGUAAUUUUAGUUGCCAUUGAAAUAUUUAGUCGCUCAUUCUUAAAAAUCUGUUCUAAUUUUCCUGUUAUUUUGGGCCAUAAACAGCUUAACAAGUCUGCAUGUGGUUUCUAAAGAUUGAUGGUUAUGAUAAAUUGGAAGAUGCUCUAAAUAUAACAAAAGUAUAUUUCUACUUGUGGUCAAUUUACAUUUGUUUCUUGUGUCAUUAUGCAGAUUAAUUUAUUCGAAUUUAUCCUAUCUCAUUCAUUUAUUUUAGACAAAGUUUGAAAAAAAAAAAUUAUAAGUAUACAAUUUCCAAUGGAUUUGAUAGAGCGGUCAUCAACCAUAUUGAUGUUAUUGGAGUAGCACUGUUCUUAAGCACUGCUUUGAGGUCUCUCCCUCUCUAUAUACAUUGAUAGUCUAUUCUGGUCGUACCAAAUUAUCCUUGUUUUAAUGUUUUGUUUGUUAAACUUUGACUGGGGAAUCUGUUUAUUUGUCUGAUAAGAGGUUAGUGUGGUUUCUAUUGAAGUGUGUAGAUCUAUCACCAAGUAUUAUUUCAAUUUUUCUUUACUUAAUCAACUUGCAUCCUUUCCAAGUCCAGAUCCUUAACAAUAGUGAGACUUCGCUACAGAAGUACAAUUUCUCUAGUUUGACAGUUAAAUACGUAAGAAUGGUUUUAAAUUAACUGAACUCUGAGAUAGUUCUCUAAGGAAAUACAAGUAGUGAAUACCGUUCCAACUUUUAACUGCCUUAAUAUAUCCAUUUGUUCAGCCCUGUGCAUAAAAAAUCAGUAAUUGCCGUCCAAAUUCUUCUUUACUGCCUAUAUGUGUUGGACUUUGUCUAUUCUUCAACUUCUCAAAUGGAUUUUUUGAAUGUCCAAUUAGGAGAAAGAUCAAGGCUUGCUUGGCUACGAGUGGAAGCGGAUCCGCUACUUCAAUCAUAUGACCUUUUGAAGAAGGCUUACAACGGGGCGGCUCAGGAUGUCAAUGGCUCAACUCAAAAGUCCCCAAAGUGGUUGAUAUCAAAGAAUGCCAUUGUCUCUGGGCUUGGGCUCCUUGGCAUCAAACAAGGGAAUGUCGACUCUGUUGAAGGGGAAGCAAGGGCUCCUAAAGUGCGAAGAAAGAGGAUAGUCCGGAAGAAGGUGACCGCAUAAAUUUCUUGGGAGUUAAUCCUAGUCAAUAGCCCAAUUUUGCUGCCUGUCGAAGAGAUACAACACGGAAGUCGUCAUCAAACUCUUUUGAGACAUCUAAGAACUAGUAGGGAGGUGUUUCCAGGCAAGUAUAGUUCACUGAUAGAGGGAUUCUUUUCUUGAUGUCUAAAUACUAUAUGUGAUACAACGUCGUAUAUUCCAAUUUUUCUCCAGUUAAAUUCUAGUAAGUUAGAAAAGUUAAUUUUGUUCUAGCGAUGAAUUGUUUUGUUAGGCAGUGUUUACUUUCUGGAGUGAGAGUGAGGAGUGUGGAUUCCUCCCAUUCCAAUGUUUACUUCAACAAAAUAGGUAGGGAUUGGGAAUCCCACUCCGUGGGCCCCACCCAUUUUUGGAGUGGGGAGUGGGAGUGGGAGUCCACUCCCACCUCUCCCUUUUCUACCCUUUAUUUUUAAUUUAAUUUAAUAAAAUAAAAUAAUUUAUAAUUAUAUUUAUUUAGAUAAUAUUAUUAUAUUUAACUAAAUAAUAAUUUACAUUGAUUAUAAGUUAAAAUUACUUAAAAUAAUAAUAUUAUAUUAAUAGAUAAUUAAUAAAUAUAUGCUAUCUUUAUUUAAUAAUAUAAUAUUAUUAUAUUUAUUUUAAAAAUAAUAUUACUAUAUUUAUUUAAUAUUAAUAAUAAUAAAUAGUUCAUUCUAAGAAAAUAUUAAUUUUUUACUAAAUAAUAUUAUAUUAAUAAAUUUAAUAUAAUUAUAUAAAAUAAAAUAAUGUUUCAUUUUAUAUUUACCCUUCUUUUUAUUAAAUUUACUAUAACUAUAUUUAAUAAAUAUUUAAAUAAUAUUAUUAUAUUUAACUAAAUAAUAAUUGGGUUUGAUUCUAAGUUUAAUUUACUUAAAAUAAUAUUAUUAUAUUAAUAGAGAAUUAAUAAUAUUACUAUAUACAAUCUUUAUUUGAAAAUAUAAUAUUGUUAUAUUUAUUUAAAAUAAUAGUAUUGUAUUUAUUUAAUAUUAAUAAUUAAUACUAAUAAAUAGUUUAUUCUAAGAAAAUAUUAAUUUCAUACUAUGUUAAUAGUAAAAAUAUUUCAUUUAUAUUGCCCUUAUCAACAAUUUUUAAUUUAUAUAAUUAAAAUUAAAAAACUUGUGAUGUUCAUAAUUAAGAAUAUUAAUAAUUAUUAUAAAUUUACAAAUAUAAUAAAAUAAAUGUUUAUUCAUUAAAUAUAUUUUAUAUUAACUUUGUAAUUAAAAACUAUAAUUCUUUACAUAAGGAUAAAAUUGUAAUUUGAGACUAUUUACUCCCAAUCAAAGACAAAGUAAACACAUAAAUUGGAUUAUGAUCUCCAUUCCAGUGCAAGUAAACAACCUACUCCCACUCCCACUCCAUACUCCCAAUCCUAGGAUUCACACUCCUCAGGAUUCCCACUCCAAUCCAAAAAAUAAACGCUACCUUAAUAACAAUAAUUGCAUGUUGCUUUGGAAUCUUAUUCACUCUCUGCAACCCAGUUAAAUUGUGCAAAUUCUACUGUAGAUUUGUCAGAGUGUCUUUGUGAUUUCUUUGAUACAAUUUUGAUCGCAAAUUUCAGUUUGAAGAAUCAUGUAAUACCAAAAAACCAUAACAUGUAAUUACUUGAUCAUACUCGACUUCCUAUUUAGUACUACCGUGUUGUUAGGGAUGGCAAUGGGCACCGCCCGCAGCGGGUUUGCCAUUACCAAACCCAAACCCGCACAAAAUUUAAAUUACCAAACCCACCCGCAACCCGCAGCGGAUUUUAAUUUUUUUACAAAAACCCACCCGCAGCGGGUUUUAACAAUUACCAAACCCGCAAUGGUGUCUGGCGGAUUUUUUGUGGGUUUCCGUAUUUAAAAUCACAAAUGUUUAAUAUAUAAAUUUAUAAUAAUAACCUCAAAUUUCAUAUAACAUACUCAAUUUUAUAUUUAAACAAUGUAAAUGAAAAAUUAAAAUUUCCACAUCAAUUCAACACAAAUUCUCAAAUUUAAGUAUAAAUUACACAAAUCCAUUUUAAAAACUCAAACUAGUAUCUAAAAAUAAUAAUUACAUUUCAUAUUAUCAUUUAAAACAAGCUCCAAGAGAAGAUAUUCAUUUCAUUCACCACCAUAAGCACCCAUCCAACACAAUGCCUAUAAUAAUAAUUAAGAUUAAUAUUUUCAAAUACUAAUUCGAAGGAAAAUGCCUUUAGUUGUUUUUAGAUUAUGACUUUAGAAUAGGAGAUAGGCCACAUAUACACAUACACAACGUUGAGCCUUUGGCUAUUUGGUAAUUUGAUUAAUGACAUUAUUUUCUUUAUACAUUUUUAGAUUAAAAUUAAAUUAAAAAUAUUUGGAAAAAAUAUUGCGGGUUUUGUGGAUAUCCAUGCGGGUAUCCACCAGAUAUAAGGUUAAUACCAAACCCACCUGCAUCCAUGUGUGGGUUUUAAUUUAUAAUACUAAACCCGCCCGCAACGGGUAAAAUUACCCGCAAUGGGCGGGUUUUGGCGGGUGGGUUUGGGCGGGUUUGUGGGUUUGCGGGUACAAUUGCCAUCCCUACGUGUUGUAGUUAUAGUUAUUGUGAAAAAGGAACUGAAACUAUAAUAUAAAUGUUGAUCUUGUUUGUAUAUAUGAUUUUUAAAUAAUAAUUUUGGUAAAAUUAAUAAAUGUAUUAUUGAUUUUUUUAUACUCCCAACUUAAUUUUUAAGUCACAAUAAUAAAUAUUUAUUAAAUACUUUGAUACUAUAACUUUAAAACUAUGCUCCGCGGCACUCUUAUCUAAUUUUAAUUGUACUUUCUAGCUCGAUUAUAGAAAUCCUUACUCGAUGUACUUUACCAUACAAGAUGUUACUUUACUUAAUCUUACUCGACUUUAAUUGCAUAUUUUAUAACGAAUUUUUUUUAAAAAAAUUGGUCCCGAUUCCAGCAAAACAGUAACUUCCAUUCAAAAGGGUUCCACGUUGAGUGCAUGUAAUCUGCACAAGUUUGAGAAGAAAUAACCAAAAAAAAAAGAAACCCACGUCCAAAGAUGCCGUUGAAACAAAGGCCUAGACACUGUAUCCCAUCCCCUUUUACCAUAUUUUAUAAUUAAAGAGGCCGUCAUUGAAUUCAAAAAUUAUGAUCCAAAAUCCAAAAAUAGAAGAAGAAUUGGAAACAUACUCGGAGUUUUAAAUUGAUAUGAGAAAAGAAUUUAUCAUUUUUUUAACAAAAAUUUAAGCUAAGACGAAAAAAUAUGCCUAAAACACCCCUCACAUUAUCCCAAAAUUUCUAAACUCCGCCAUUCCUCUGACCAUCAUCUCUCCCAAAUCAAUCUUCCCCCAAAACCAGCCAUGGCUUCAAAUUCAAUCAGCUUAACACUCCAAUAUUGCUUGUAAGCCACCCACAAGUCCUCAACUUCACAUGGACUCAAGACCAAACCCUAGCUUCCUUCCGACACAUCCUCAUUCACUCCAUCAUUACUUACCUCUCCCUCACAUCCAUCCUCUACCACACAUCAACAUCAACAUCACCAUCAUCAUCACCUCUCAUUGGACCCCACAUCCUCAGACCCAUCACAGCCAUCCAUAACAUUUUUCAUUUUGAUGCUGAAUUAUCAUUUCACGGGAUUUGGUUUCCCUGGGUUUUGGGGUUGGUGCUUCAAUACUGUGUUUAAUGCUUCCCUUUUGGCCCUUUUUGUUAAUUUUCAUUACAAGAGCUUUGCUAAGAAAAGAAGCAGAGAUGAUCAAAACAACUAGUAGUUAUCCUUGUUUUGUGUUUUCUUUUUUAAUUUAUUUGAUUUUGGUUAAUUAUGAAUGGUGGUAAUGGGUUCAUUGCCAUUGACAGAGAUGUUUCCAGUUGCCUAAACUUUGUUUUUUUCAAUUUUGGUAGUACGUGUAAUUUGUCACCACAUUUGUUUAGUCUCUCCCUUUCAAAUUCCCUCUCACACAAAAAAAUUCGGAUUUGUAUUUUGUAAACUAACAUUUUUCAUUUUGUUAAUAAAUUAAUUAUUAUUAUCUACAUUUAUGUGAUAGGACACAUGCCACAUCAAUUAAUAUUAGAUCAUGAAUUUUUGCAACCCCAGCAAAAAAAAUUUAUGAAAGAUGUUUAGGUAAGGAUUAUUUUGGUCUUCUAAAGAGUAGAUUAAAAAUCAAUGUUCAAAGUAUUAGAACAUAAAUAAUCCCAGCUUUAAUAAAAUUUUGCCACAUAAUGAUUCUUAUCUCUCAAGAGAAACAUAUAAAUAAAAUGUACAAAGUUAGAAAUAUAGAAUGCAUUAGUACAUGUCAAUAACAAGACCAAUUAGAUCAUGGCAUUACUUAAUUUUAUUUUUAUUUUUUGCUUCUUUUGAAACAAGAUCAAUUAGUUAGAUCAUUGAAAAAGAAGCAGUCAUACAAAGUUUGAAUAUAAAAUUUAUAAUCUAAAAUUAAUGAUGUGACAAUUAACAUGUUAUUAACCUAGCUAAUAGAGUAGGAAGUCCCAAAUACACCAUCUUCUGCUACAGAAAUCAAUCCUACCUAGAAUACUUCUUUUUAUUGAAAUUUAUGAUGAUUUGUUUGUUUGCAUCAUGAAAGUUAAAAAUAAUUUUGUGAGUAAUUUGAUUCUUUACGGUACAAAAAAUAAAUUCGGAAAGUAUUAAUUUCUCUCAUACUUUUAGGGCUAAAAAAUAAAAGUAAGUCUAAUAUAUUUAUUAGUUAAUGAUUAUAUAUCAAUCAUCUCUCAUACUUUUCGAUCUGAUCCAAUCCAAUCUGAAUAUUCUAGCCUAAUCAACCCGAAACCCAAUCAAGUUGAUCUGAACACAAAUUUACCCACUCCUAGCGGGGAUCAUGACCCUACAAGCUUUGAAAAAUUUUGAGGUUUCGAAGUGAAAUAUUAAAAAUUAGGUAUAAAAAGACUGAUUUGGCCCCUAAGCAAUUAAUUUGAGAAUGUUACAUUUUCCAUUUCUCUUUUUGUCGUGACAUAAUAGACUAAAACGGAAUCACAUACUUCUUCAAAUGCCCAAAUGGCUUUGGCCUAAUAAAGUUAUAUAUUGACUGUGGACUAAAACAGAGCCACAACUUUUUCGAAUGACCAAAUGAAUUAAUGAGACAAUGGCGUUUGCCUACCUUGAUAACAAAAGUCGUCGGCCAUAAUCCAUAUAGACAAAAAAAUGGUCCAUACGUUAAGGUUAAAUUGAAAAAUAUAAUAAAUAAAUUUCAUUUGUGAUGAAAUUCGUAAUGGAUUUAUUACUUAGUUAUCUUUCACAUAUUUUCUCUAUAAUAUCAUAUAAGUUAUAGACCACAGCAUGAUAUUUAUUGCAAUUAAAAUCAUUGUGAAACUGAUUUUAUUCUUUUUUUUCUUCUCAAACAAAGUAUCUAGCUAAUUGCAGAUGUAAUAAAUUACUAAUUAACAUUAUUUUAUCUGAAAAAUAUAAUAAAUAAAUUGUCAGGAGAUGAUUUUAUCUGAAAUUUCACUUGCACGGUCCAGGCCACAUACAAAUUUGUGCUGAAAUUCAUAAUGGAUUAAUAUGAUUGGGCGAAAUUACUCUAUAUAUCAUUUCAUCAAUAUCUAUUAAACGAUAAAAAAUUUAUUGAUAUUUAUAAUAAAAAAAAUCUAUCCACUAAGUCUAUUCUAGAUCAACAAUUAAUAUAUUAUAUAUAACUUCAAAAGGUUCAUCGGUGGAUUGAUCUAAGCCUUUUGUUGUAGUUUAUAAAUAUUUUGUUGCUUAUAAUGUAAGAAAUUUUACAGGAGCUGAUGCUGAGUAGUCUGAAUAAGAAAAUUAAUUAUAUUGUAAGAUACUGGGUAUUCAUGAUAAAAUAAAUAAAUAAAAAAUGAAUAAAAAUUUAAAUCCUUAAUUAAUUUUUAUCAAAUUCUUAUCAAAUAUUUAAAAAAGUAUAUAAAAUCAAUUAAUUGAUGGUAUUAUUAAUUUUCAUGAUUAAUAUUAAAUAUAAAUAAACAAUAAUGACAUAAAUUAAAGUCUCAUAAAUGGAUAACUUUUUUUUCCUUAAUCUUAUCCCAAGUCCCAACUAAAGGAAUGUGUAAAUUAGGAUUAUUAAUCCCAUAAUUUUAAGAUUAAACUUAAAUUUAGUCCCUUAGUCCAAUUCAAUUAAGCUUACCAAAUUUGAUAUAAAUAUAUAAUCACAAAAUUAGUCCAAUUCCAUACUUAAUCCUAGUAUCCGACCAUGGCCUGAUAAAAUAGUUUAGGUAAUAUACUUUUAUGACUAGGGUUGGUAGAAAAGCCCGGGCCGGCCUAGGCCCGCAGGCUUUAAGCCCGACCCGUGGUUUGAAAUUAUGGAUAAAGGCUCGUAAUUAAUGAAGCCCAUAACAUAUGGGCUCAGUUAAGGGUCUAAAUGAAAAGCCUGGGCUUAAGCCCAGGCUUUAUAAUAAAUAAUAUAUAUAUAUAUAUAUUUUAAAAAAAAUUGUAUAAUAUAUUAUGAAAUUGAAAUUAAAAAAAAAAUUUAAACAAAACAAUAAAAAAAAUCGGGCAAAGGGCAAAGGUUUUGUCACAACUCACAAAAUCCCUAAAUCGGUAAAUCAAAAUAUCAAAUUAUUCGUGUUUCGUGAGCACCAUUUCGUGAGCAGUGAGCACCUGACAAAAUCUCACUCACUGUCACGGCGUCACCGUGCCGGCGUCUCACUGUUCUCGCCACCGGCAGCCAACAGUAGAGCAUCUCUAGAUUCCAGCAGCGUCGUCCAGCCAGCAUCAGCCAUCAGCGACCCACCUUCCAGCAGCAGUAGCAGCGAGCAUCUCCCGCGUAAGGCCAAUCCCACCGCCCAGCCACCCACCGUCCAGCCACCCAGCAAGGCAGCAACAGCAUCUCCCGCGUGUCGCAGGCUCGCAGCAGUGCCUCCCAGCAAUUUCCAUCAACAUUGGUAAGCAUUUUUUUGUGUCCUCACUCCUCAGUUUCUUGAUCUUUUCUUUGUCCCUUUCAGUGAUCUGGGUAAUGCUGCAUUUGAUCUUUUCAAAGUGGACUCUUUUUGAUCUGUUUGUUGUUCUAAAUUUUGUAAUUUUUUAUAUGGGUUUCGGCCAGUGGAGGAUUUGAUUUGAUUUUUUAUAUGGGUUUCGGCUCAUUUUCUUUAAAGCUUGUAAGUGUUUGUAGGUUGUUAAGAGGAUUUCAAUAGUUAAAGUAGAAAGAUUUGAUUUGUUAGUGAUUGAGAUGAUACCGGUUUCAAUAGUUAAAGGCUGUUAAGAGGAUUCCAAUGAUAUAGAAUUUAUUUCCUGUCUUCAAUUGCAGAGUGUUUAUAUUUCUCAAUACUGUUUAAUUUCCAUAUUCAUAUUAUUUUUCUCAGCCUGUACUAAGGUGAUGUCUCCAUUGUAUAGAUACUGACAUACUGUAUGGAGUUCUGGACAUUGUAAAUUUGUUGUCCUGUCACUCCUGUGCUUGUAAAUGCAGUAUGCGUUUAGUGCAUUUACACUUAGCUUAAUUAAUUUAUUAAUUUAAUAUUUUAUCUCCUUUAAUUUUGUAUAGGUUUAUAAUGGAAAAUGUCUCUGAACCUUCUAAUUUGCCUUCAAAUCUAUCUGUGGAGUCGGAAAAUGUUCAAGAAGAAAUGCGGAGUGAUAAAAAAAGAAAACAGAGGGUUGUUUCAAAUUGUUGGGACCAUUUUACAAAACUAAAUGUUGGUAGUGUAGCAAAGGCAAAAUGCAAUCAUUGUGGAACGGUUCUUUCUUGUGGAUCGGGAACCAGUCAUUUGAAUAGACAUACUAGACAAAUUCACGGUUUUAAUCAACCGACAAAUAGUUUUAUUAAAAAAAAUUUUGAAAAUUCGUAAAAGCCCAGGCCCAGCCCUAGGCCCGGCUCGCCCAAUUUGAAUGGGCUUUGAGAGGGCCUGGACUUUUUAAACUUUAUAAGGGCCUGGUCCUGGGCUUGGCAAAGCCCGGCCCAGACCCUUAAAUUGCCAACCCUAUCUAUGACUCACAAUUUAAAUAAAUUUGAGAAUUUAUAUAAGGGAUGGAAAAUUCACAAUAAUCAUAACAUGUGCUAUCUUUUCUUCCUUUUCUUAAUUAAAUAAAAGAAAAAAAUUAAUGACAGAACCACUGCUGUGUGAUAUCGAUGAAGUCGCAUUCGCCUACCUAAUAUUGCGCAAUCAGAUAGAAAAAAGGGUCGGCUGCAUGAUUUUUCCAACUUUUGUCUUAUUUUUCUCUUUUCCACUACAAAUUAAUUUGAGAAUGUUAUAUUUUCCAAUUCUCUUUUUGUCGUGACAUAAUAGACUAAAGCGGAAUCACAUACUUUUUCAAAUGACCAAAUGGCUUUGGCCUACCUGAUAAUAAAAGGAAUGGAUCCAUACGUUAAAGCUAAAUUGAAAAAUAUAAUAAAUAAAUUGUCAGGAGAUGAUUUUAUCAAAAGUUUCACUCGCACGGUCCCGACCAAAUACAAAUUUGUGAUGAUAUUCAUAAUGAAUUUAUACAAUUAGGCGAAACUACUCUAUAUAGUUUCAUCGAUAUAUAUUAGACCAUUACAAAUAUACUAAUAUUUAUAAUAAAAAAAAUUUAUGACUAUUUUAAAUCGACUGUAUUAUAUGUGAAUUCACAAGAUUCAUAGAUAGAUUGCACUGAGCUUUUUGUUGCAGUUUACAAAUAUUUUGUUACUAAUUAUCUUAAGAGCAGCAAGUAACUAAGAAAUUUCACAAGUGCUGAUGCUGUGUACUCUGCAGAAUUAACAAUGAAUUAUUAUGAAUCAGAGAAACAGGGCAGACACUGUACAAUUAUUGACGUGGUGGAGCAGAAAGCUAGCCCCAGACAGUGACUCAUGUGGGGACUCCUUCAAUUUGCAGCACAAAAGAACGUUCACAUUGACAUUGACUUGAGGGUAAAAAUUAAAUAACUCCUAUGGUAUAAGAAGAAUGCAAACAUGCUUGAAUGAACAUUCUCACAGAAUACAUAAAACCUACUUUCCUCUGAGCAUUUUAGCAAGAAAAGCAAUUGCAUCAUUUAUCAUUUGAUCUAAUAUCAGAAUGGCUCAUGCAAUCGUUUCCUCUCUCCUGGACCAGCUGAAUUCCAUUGCUCAAGGUCAGGUGAAAGAAAAGUUGAGGCUUGUGACGGGUGUCGAACAAGAAGUGGGUAAGCUUACCACCAAUCUUCAAGCCAUUCAAGCUAUGCUGGAAGAUGCAGAGCAGAGGCAAAUGAAGCAGGACAAAGCUGUUACGUUUUGGCUGGAUCAGCUCAGAGACGCAUCCUACGACAUGGAAGAUGUGUUGGAAGAGUGGAUCACUGAAACACGGAAAUUGCAGCUUGAUGAGGGCGGCGAUGAUGAUGAUGAUGAUAACGACAAUGCUUUUGUUACUCUUUUGACGAAGGUAUGUUCCUUCUUUCCUGCUGCCUCAAACUGCUUUGGUUGUUUCAAACAACUCAGUCUUCGUCAUCAUAUUGCUGUCAAGAUUAGAGAAAUCAGUAAAAGGCUAGAUGAAAUUGCCACUCGAAAAGAUAGGUUUAAUUUUGUUGAGAAUGUGAGUAACAAUGUUAGGAAUCCAGAGCGAGUGCGAACCAUCUCCUUGAUUGAUGAGAGAGAGGUUUACGGUAGAGUUGAGGAGAAAAAUGAGCUCUUAAGCAAGUUGUUGUGUGAAAGUAGUGAACAACAAAAAGGCCUUCAUGUCAUUUCACUAGUUGGGUUGGGGGGUAUAGGUAAAACCACUCUUGCACAAUUGGCGUAUAAUAAUGAUGAGGUGAAAAUAAAUUUUGAAAAAGUUAUAUGGGUGUGUGUAUCGGACACUUUUGAUCAGAUUAGGGUUGCCAAAGCAAUCAUUGAAGAUCUAGGUGAGUCAGCUUCUGGUUUAAACGAAUUCCAAUCUCUUAUGAGCCGUAUCCAGAGUUCAAUUAAAGGAAAAAAAAAUUUUCUUGUCUUAGAUGAUGUAUGGGAUGGGGAUUACAAUGAAUGGGAACCAUUCUUCCUUUGUCUAAAAAAUGGUCUCCACGGAAGUAAAAUUUUGGUUACCACACGUAAUGAGUCAGUUGCACGUAUGAUGGGAUCAACAGAUAUUAUCUCCAUUAAGCAAUUGGCUGAAGAGGAAUGCUGGUCAUUGUUCAAGCAGUUAACAUUUUUCGGUCGUUCUUUUGAGGAUCGUGAAAAAUUAGAACCAAUGGGGCGAAAAAUUGCACACAAGUGCAAAGGCUUGCCUCUUGCUGCAAAGGUAAUAGGGAAUCUCUUGCGCUCUAAAAGUACAGUAAAAGAGUGGCAAAGAAUUUUAGAGAGUGAAAUGUGGAAAGUAGAAGAGAUUGGGCAAGGUCUUUUAGCUCCUUUGUUGUUGAGUUAUAAUGAUUUGCCCUCCAAUUCUAUGGUAAAACGGUGUUUCUCAUAUUGUGCUGUCUUUCCAAAAGACUACAAUAUGGAUAAAGAGGAAUUGAUUAAUCUGUGGAUGGCUCAAGGUUACCUUAAUGCAGAAGAAGACGAAGAGAUGGAGAUGAUUGGGGAAGAGUGUUUCAACAUUUUAGCAACACGCUCUUUCUUUCAAGAAUUUAAGAAAAAUGCUGAUGAUGAUAUUAUGAGUUGUAAGAUGCAUGACAUAGUACAUGAUUUUGCCCAAUUUGUAAGUAGCAAAGAAUGUUUGUGGGUAGAAAUUAAUGGUACCAAAGAAUCAGUCAUAAACUCUUUUGGUGACAAAGUCCGUCACUUAGGGUUAAAUUUUCAAAGAGGCACUUCAUUUCCUAUGUCCAUUCGUGGACUUGAUAGAUUGCGUACCCUCCUAAUUGAUGAUGGAAGUCUGUCUCUUAGUAGUAGCAUCCUUUCGGAGUUAUUUAGUAAAUUGGCGUGUUUAAGGGCAUUAGUUAUAAUGCAAGGUUUUCAUCCUGAGACAAGUAGGAUUAGAGAAAUUCCAAAAAAUGUCGGAAAAUUGAUACAUUUAAAAUAUCUUAAUUUGAAUAGACUAUGUAUAGAGAUACUACCUGAGACUUUGUGUGAAUUAUAUAAUUUACAAAAGCUAGAUAUUAGUUGGUGCCGAAAUCUUAGAGAAUUGCCAGCGGGGAUUGGAAAGUUAAAGAACAUGAGGAGUUUACUGAAUGAUAACACUUAUUCAUUGAAGUACAUGCCGAUAGGGAUUUCCAAAUUAACCAAUCUUCGAACAUUAAAAAAGUUUGUGGUGGGUGGAGGUGUUGAUGGUAGCAAUACGCGUAGGCUUGAAUCUCUGAAAAAUCUUCAACUCCUUCGAGAAUGUGGAAUAGAAGGGCUGGGUAAUGUGUCCCAUUUAGAUGAGGCUGAGAGGUUACAACUUUACAAUAAGAAAAACCUCCUUCGUUUGCGUCUUGUGUUUGGUGGAGUCUUACAUGGGGAAGGCGAGAAAGAUAAACAACUUCUUGAAGCCUUACAACCGCCUUUGAAUGUAGAGGAAUUAUGGAUUAUGUUCUACCGAGGCAACAUUUUUCCCAAAUGGUUGACUUUGCUAACCAAUCUAAGGAAUUUAACACUUUCCUUGUGCAUUAACUGUGAGCAUUUGCCUCCUUUGGGAAAAUUGCCUCUGGAAAAACUCAAACUAUGGAAAUUAAAAAGUGUAAAAAGAGUGGGUAAUGAGUUUUUGGGAAUAGAAGAAAGCAGUGAGGACGACCCAUCUUCAUCUUCAUCGUCAUCAUCAGUUAUUGCCUUCCCCAAAUUGAAAUCACUCGAAAUUGUAGCAUUGGAAGAAUUGGAAGAGUGGAAUUACAGGAUUACGAGGAAGGAAAACAUCUCCAUCAUGCCCCGUCUUUCUUUCUUAAAAGUUGUUUUUUGCAACAAAUUAAAGGCGCUGCCGGAUUACCUUCUUCAAACGACGGCACUGCAGGAACUGCGUAUUUUUUCUUGUGAUCUUCUAGAAGAACUGCCCAUUCUAGAAGAUCGCAGGACAACAGACAUACCACGUCUUUCUUCCUUGCGAAUUUCGGAUUGCCCCAAAUUAAAGGUGCUGCCGGAUUACCUUCUUCGGACGACGACGCUGCAGGAAUUGACAAUUUGGAGAUGUCUCAUUCUGGAAAACCGUUAUAGAGAGGGGGAAGGAGAAGACUGGUAUAAGAUAUCCCACAUUCCCCACAUCAAGUGGUCGCCGUAAGAUAUCACUCGCCGGUAAUUUCUCCUCCUCCUCUGAUUUACUUCGUUGUUGCUUGCAAUGAAAUUAAUAAAAAUAAUUAUAUUUUGAAUUAAAAUUCUAUAUAGAAUCAAUCAUGGUAUAAAUAUGUAAAACUUCCUAGUUAUCAAAUCUGUUAAACUUGUUUUCUAAAGAUUAAAUAAUUAAAAAAAAACCAAGUGUAGUAUGUUGAAAUUUCUAUAUUUUCUUUUAAAAAAUUUGUGCUCUUUUAUAAAAUUUGAUACAACAUCGUAGAAAAUCCCAAUGUAAUUUAUUUUUUAAUGUACGAAAAGUUGUUAUGUGUAACUUCCUGAGAGAAAAAAUCUCUGUGAUACAUUUGCAGUAAUGUUGAAAACUAAAUUAUCAAUUUUAUCUUGUAUAAUGAUAAUCGUAUUUUUUUAUAUAUAAUUUAUGUGACAUUAAUUCUUUAAAGUAAUUGUGUAAUUGUUUUUAGUAGUACAUUAGCCCACUUUGUUUUAUUUCAUACGAGUUUAAUUAUGUUCACCAGGGAUUCGAGGAAAUGUCAGAACCACACUAGCAAUUCACAGGUCCAAUCUAAUUUGGUUUUAAUGAUGCAGGCAGGAGAGUAUUCUAAGAAAAUGAAAAGUUUAGCCAAAGGAUUGCUAAAAUGUUCUGCUGGUAAUUCACUUGCUUUAUUUUAUAGAAUUUCAUUUCCAUCUUCUUCUAUUGAUAUCUUGUUGUGAAUAAACAAGAACAGAGAAGUAAAUGAUUGAACCACAGAGAAGUAAAGAUAUAUCCAAAUUCGAUUAUUAUGAUGAUUAAAGCAAGCUCAAGCUCACGCAUUGCAUUUUUUAUUUUAUUUAGUUUAUAGAAUUUUCAUUUCCACCUGCAUUGCAUUUUUAUUUCAUUUUUAGGUUGACGUUGAAGACUCUAUGGAAAACAUUGGGGUAACCAAGGAUUAUCACUGUGGUUAUUGUGCAACGUUUGGUUGCUGGACUUUGAAGAAGGAAGUGAUGGCCGGGUCUGCUCUGUUUCAAUUGAGGAUGGAUAGCUGCCUGAAAGACAUGAUGAUUAUUAUUGCAUGAUGUUUAGGUGCUAAGAUAAUCAUUUAUAUCUUGCUUCAUUCUUGGAAUCAUUUAUCCUAUAUAAACAUAUUGAAUUGUGCUAAUAUUAUCAAUUUUUUCACCUAAUUUUCACUGUUGUUGUGAAAAGAAUUUCAGGCUCUCAAAAGCUACAAAGCAAAGCAUUUGUGGGCUGAUCAUAUGUUUCAAUUGAGGAAGGAGCUUGGUGUUGGCAAUAUUGUCCAGGUAACCACAGCUGAUAAUUUCCACAAAUUUGCAUUGUCAGAAUACACUUUAAUGUUCAUGGUGUUCCUCUGUGUUAUCAGGUUAUCGUGGUAUGUAAAGUAUCAUCUUUAAGGAUUUGUAAUAGACUUUGCAUUAAACUUAGUUGUCACCAGCUCCUGCAAUUGCUCACUCAUUCAAGAGUACUUCAAAAUUAGAUUUUCAAGGUUUGUAUGUUUAGUUGUGAUCAAAAUGUUUAGUCACUCAUUCUUAAUCUUUUCUGAUUUUCAAGUUCUUUAGGGUCAUAAACAGUUUUCCAACUCAUUCUUAAUUUUUAGGUUGAUUUCGAGUACCAUGUUGAGGACAUUCCUGAGACCAAGGAUUAGGCUGGCGAAGGAACCACUACCUCUGUUGUUAUUGUGCAAGGUUUGAUCAUUGGACCUUGAAUAAGAAUCCCUUACACGCAUUCUGUAAUUGAAGCGUUCUCUAAAGCAACAGAGCAGUUGAAGGAAUAGUGAUGGCCGGAUCUGCUCUAUCUUAAUUGAAGAUCUCUGUGAUGUUGAGGAGCUUAAAGCAGUUGUUGCUUUUUGAUUCCUGAAGACGAGUAUCUAAUGAUUGUUAAGGCGUAUUUCAUGAACUUCCUUUCUUAACGAAUGUUUCAAUGCUGGCUGUAGUAACAAUUUCAUAUCUUGCAUCUCUCGGGUGCAUCAUGUUCACGGGUUUGAAAAAGCAUUUGUGGUAAUGCUUCAAAGCUUGUACAAUGGCUGUGAAAAGGCACAUUCAAUUAGGUACGUUUUGGUGCGGUCUCCCAAUGCUAAUAUUAUAUUUUGUAUAGCAAUUAAAAUUUAGCUAUACAAUCUUAAUAUGCAAUAAAUCAUUGUAUACAAAGUUUUCUAUUAAUUAUAUGGUGACUGAAAUUUUAAUUAUCAUAUAUCAAUUUAAAUUUUUUUGUUACUCUCUUUUACUUUGCUUGUACAGAGUACCUGUUUUGGCUGAUAUGUCUAAUUCGUAGAAAUUCAUUUCCAUCGGUUUCCAUUGGCUUUAGCACAAACCGAAACAGAUCUCUGGGGAAAAGUUUUACUUCUUGUGAUAUUAUGCCUUUGUUUCUUCAUUCAUCAUAUUUUUCGAAUUCAUGCUCUCAUUCAGAGGGUAAAGCCUUUUUGAUGCAGCGGAAGUUUAAUGUUCAAAAUAUUCCGUUGAUUCUAGAGAAUACCGGAAUAAAAGAACAACUAAAUUCACGUUGAUUCAAAAGAAUACCGCGAACUUAGGGGUUAAGACUCGUUGAUUCAGAAUACCGAGAAUUAACUAUUCAAAUACUCACAAAGAGAUUUGAAAAUUGAAAUAUUAUUGAACUCAAAAUUCUCUACUUGUAAAAGUUACAAAAGACACUUAUUUAUACUAAAUAAGACUUAUCCUAAUAUGAUUAGAAAACCUAUUUUAAUAAGACUUAUGCCUAAAUUAGGAAUAUUAUCCAAAUAAGCAAUACCUAAACAAUAAGACUCUAAAUAGGAAACCAAAUUAAACUAGAAUACAAAUUAAUUAAAAUAUUCCUAAAUAUUAUACAUUUAAAUAUAAUUAGGAUUUCUUCAAUUUCUUGCUAUGCAUCAUUCCCGCCAGGUUGGAGAAAAUUCGUCCUCGAAUUUUGUAUAUUGUAAUCUUCAAGAAUAUCUUCAUGUGCAUAAGGAUUAAUUUUUAAAACAGAGCUUUGACAUAGACGACGAACUUUAAAUUUUCCAACUUUUGUAAUAACGUCCAUCCAAUCACUCCAAUGGCGUAAAAUAAAUUCUUCUAUCAACAACUUCUCCAAUAAUGUCUUCUCAUAUUGUUCGUGUCGAACUUCAACAUAGUUAAGGAAAAAUGAUUUUUUCUUAUAAUCCACUAACUGUUGAAAAAUAUCACAACUCUUUUUGUCUUCUUUCGGCAAAUCAAGAGAACAAUAAGAGAUUGUAUCAAUAACUAUCUCUCUCUCCUCCACAAGAUCAAAAGAUGGAUAAACAAUUACCUCUUCUCGUCCCACAAUAUCAAGAUUCUCAUCAAAUUUCGGCGAUUGAUCCAAAUCAAUAUUGUCUUUGUGUUGAGGAUUUGUUGUAGACAUGAAUGGCCAAUUAAUAUUCUCCUCGGAAGGAAUAAUAUUGUCGAAAGGAACAAAGUUACAAUUUUCCUCAUUAUCUUCAUAACAAACAUCACCGUGAACAACUUCAUCAAAUCCAUAUGCAUGCUUUAUGUGUAAAGAUUUUCUAUCUCGAAUUUUCUCUAAAUCUUGAGAAAUUGAACGCAAAAUCCUCAACAUCUUAACUAAAACAUCUCUCAAGAUGAAAUCUUCACGUCGAUAUUGUGAUUUCAUGAUAUAAUUUUUUUCUUUUUUUUUUCCUAUGCUUUUUUUUGGUGUUGUUUGGGUUUUUUUUUUUUAAACUAAACGGAAAAAAACAAAAAAGGAAAAAAGGAAAGGUUUGGUGGUAGAUGGAGUUAGAUUGGUGAGACCAGGUUUUGGCUCUGAUACCAAGCUGAUGCAGCGGAAGUUUAAUGUUCAAAAUAUUCCGUUGAUUCUAGAGAAUACCGGAAUAAAAGAACAACUAAAUUCACGUUGAUUCAAAAGAAUACCGCGAACUUAGGGGUUAAGACUCGUUGAUUCAGAAUACCGAGAAUUAACUAUUCAAAUACUCACAAAGAGAUUUGAAAAUUGAAAUAUUAUUGAACUCAAAAUUCUCUACUUGUAAAAGUUACAAAAUACACUUAUUUAUACUAAAUAAGACUUAUCCUAAUAUGAUUAGAAAACCUAUUUUAAUAAGACUUAUGCCUAAAUUAGGAAUAUUACCCAAAUAAGCAAUACCUAAACAAUAAGACUCUAAAUAGGAAACCAAAUUAAACUAGAAUACAAAUUAAUUAAAAUAUUCCUAAAUAUUAUACAUUUAAAUAUAAUUAGGAUUUCUUCAAUUUCUUGCUCUGCAUCACUUUUCCAGGCUGCUUUGUAGCCAAACUUUGACGCCUUUGAUGCAUGACUGUCAUUUAGAUUUUCCAAAUAACUGUUAGAUUGGAGAAGAAUAAGAAGAUACUGUUAAAAGGGUAUUUAAUUAGCGCCCUCUGAAUUUCUUGGAGUUAAUGUAGUCAAUUGCCCAAUUUUGCUUCAAACUCUGAGACACCUAAUAAAUAGUUGGAGGUGGUGGUAUUCGCCUGGUGUUAAUUUCCUGGCAAGUAUAGUUCACAGAUAGAGGGGUUCUUUUCUUGAUGUCUAAUUACCGUAUGUGAUACAACAUCGUGUAUUCCAAUUUUUCUCCAGUUAAAUUUUAAUACGUUAGAAAAGUUAAUUUUUUUUUAGCAAUGAAUUGUUUUCUUAAUAAUAAUAAUUGCCAUGUUCCUCUGAAGUCUUAUUAAUACCAGACCACCAACUACUAGGUUCAUCUCUCGUUCACUUCCUCAGGGAAUCUCGAGGGCAUUCAUUGGCAGGUAGUCUUUCUUGUUGAGCUCCUGGAAUUACUUUUAAUUUAUCAUUUGUUGGGUUUUGCUUUUUGAUUGCUUUGGGAUUUGUGUUAUUAUCGCUUUGUCGCUCAUUAAUCUUGGCUGUUUUGAAUCUGUGUUGGAUUUAGAAGUUUGGAGUUGAAAACAGUUAAAGCUUAGACUAGUAGAAGAGAUUUAUACAUUCAUUUAUCUUGGACAAAGUUUUUGGGGGAAAAAAAAAUUAUAAGUAUACACUUUCCAAUGGUUCGGUGAUGUUUGAUUGGUUUAAAGAUGUUGGAUCUCUCAUCAGAUUUCUUAUGUAUCGACUGCUGUUGCCACAGGAUGCUUGCAGAUCCUGCUUUUUUGUAUAAACUUCUACUAGAGCAGGCUGCCACAAUUGGUUGCACUGUUUUGUGGGAGUUGGAGAAUCAUAAGGAGAGGUGUGUUUUUUCUCUCAUAACAAAGGAACUCUUCCCUUCCUUUUUAUUUUCAUCUUAUAUAUUAAGCUAAUAAAUGUUUGCUUCUGUCGUGAUGGGAUAAAGCAAGAAUGGGAUCAGCUUAGUUUUGGUGCUUUCCUUGGACUAUAUGCAAACAUGAGAUAUCAGCUAUUGUGUGGAUUUGAUAGAGCGGUCAUCAACCAUUUUGAUGUUACCAGGUUAUCUCUCCCUCUCCCUCUUCUACGCAUUUGUUUAUUGAUCUACAUCUCUAUAUACAUUGAUAGACUAUUCUGGACGUACCAAAUUACCCUUGUUUUAAUGUUUUGCCUGGGGAAUCUGUUUAUUUGUCUGAUAAGAGGUUAGUGUGGUUUCUAUUGAAGUGUGUAGAUCUAUCACCAAGUAUUAUUUCAAUUUUUCUUUACUUAAUCAACUUGCAUCCUUUCCAAGUCCAGAUCCUUAACAAUAGUGCGACAUCGCUACAGAAGUACAAUUUCUCUAGUUUGACAGUUAAAUACGUAAGAAUGGUUUUAAAUUAACUGAACUCUGUGAUAGUUCUCUAAGGAAAUACAAGUGGUGAAUCCGGUUCCAACUUUUAAGUGCCUUAAUUUACCCAUUUGUUCAGCCCUGUGUGUAAACAAUCAGUAAUUGUUGUCCAAAUUAUACUUUACUGCCUAUAUGUGUUGGACUUUGUCUAUUGUUCAACUUCUCAAAUGGAUUCCAUGCAGGGUUCUUAAUGUCCAAUUAGGAGAAAGAUCAAGGCUUGCUUGGCUAGGAGUGGAAGCGGAUCCGCUACUUCAAUCAUAUGACCUUUUGAAGAAGGCUUACAACGGGGCGGCUCAGGAUGUCAAUGGCUCAACUCAAAAGUCCCCAAGGUGGUUGAUAUCAAAGAAUGCCAAUGUCUCUGGGCUUGGGCUCCUUGGCAUCAAACAAGGGAAUGUCGACUCUGUUGAAGGGGAAGCAAGGGCUCCUAAAGUGCGAAGAAAGAGGAUAGUCCGGAAGAAGGUGACCGCAUAAAUUUCUUGGGAGUUAAUCCGAGUCAAUAGCCCAAUUUUGCUGCCUGUCGAAGAGAUACAACUCGGAAGUCGUCAUCAAACUCUUUGAGACAUCUAAGAACUCGGAGGGAGGUGGUGGUAUUCAGUGUGUUUCCUGGCAAGUAUAGUGCAGUGAUAGAGGGAUUCUUUUCUUGAUGUCUAAAUACUAUAUGUGAUACAACGUCGUAUAUUCCAAUUUUUCUCCAGUUAAAUUUUAGUAAGUUAGAAAAGUUAAUUUUGUUAUAGCGAUGAAUUGUUUUCUUAACAAUAAUAAUGGCCUGUUGUUUUGGAAUCUUAUUCACUCUUGUAACCUAGUUAAAUUGUGCAAAGUCUACUGCAGAUUUGUCAAACUGAGUGUCUUUGUGAUUGUUUUGAUACACUUUUGAUCGCAAGUUCAAGUUUGAAUCAUCUUGUAAUGCCAAGAAAACCAUAGCGCUAUUAGUUACUAGAUCGCACUCGAGUUUUUGUUUGACUUUUAACUACGAGAUCAGCUUUUAGUAUUAGCUGUAGUUAUAAUAUAAACGUUAAUUAUGAAACUCUUACCAAAUUUUAGUUGUACUUUCUAGCCCGAUUGUAGAAAUCCAUACAAGAUGCUACUCAAUUUUACUUAAUCUUACUCGUCUUUGAUUUGUAAAUUUUAUGCCUAAAUUUUUGUCAACAAAUUGGUCCCAGUUCCAAGGUUCUUCAGCUUGGGUGAUCCCAGCAAAACCAUUACGUCCAUUCAAAAGGGUUCCACGUUGAGUGCACGAGAUCCACAAGUUUGAUUGGGCAGAAAUACCUGAUGAAAAACCUGAUGAAACCCACGUCCAAAGAUGCCUUUUGUUGCGGAGGCCUAGACGCGACACCCCAUCCCCUUUUACCAUAUUUUAUAAUUGAAGAGGCCAUUAUUGAAUUUAAAAAUUAUGAUUCAAAAUCCAAAAAUAGAAAAAGAAAAACAACCGUUGGAAACCACUCGAAAUUUUAAGUUGAUAUGAGAAAAGAUUUUUUCAUCAUCAUCAUUACUAUUAUUUCUUUUUAACAAAAAUUAAGCUAAGACAACAUUAUAUACCCAAAAUACCCCUCACAUUAUCCCAAACUUUCUAAACUCCCCCACUCCUCUCAACAUCAUCUCUUCCAAAUCUUUCUUCCUCCAAAAAGCAGCCAUGGCUUCAAAUUCAAUCACCUCAACACUCCAAUAUUGGCUUGUAAACCACCCCAAAAUCCUCAACUUCACAUGGACUCAAAACCAAACCCCAGCUUCCUCCCCACACUUCCUCAUUCUCUCCAUCCUCACUUACCUCUCCCUCACAUUCAUCCUCUACCACAAAUUAACGCCAACAUCACCAUCAUCAUCACCUCUCAUUGGACCCCACAUCCUCAAGCCCAUCACAGCCGUCCAUAACCUCACCCUCCUCCUCCUCUCCCUCGUCAUGGCCGUUGGUUGCACUCUCUCCAUCGUCCUCCAUUCACCCAACCUCCGUCACACCCUCUGUUUCCCCCCCACCAUUUCUGCCUCCGGUCCCCUCUUCUUCUACGCUUACAUCUUCUACCUCUCCAAAAUACUCGAAUUCCUAGACACCCUUUUGAUCAUUUUGUCAAACUCCAUCCAACGGCUCACGUUCCUCCACGUCUACCACCAUGCAACCGUCGUCGUAAUGUGCUACCUUUGGUUACAGACGAAGCAGUCUUUGUUUCCUAUCGCACUUGUCACCAAUGCAAGUGUGCACGUGAUCAUGUACGGGUACUAUCUAUUGUGUGUGAUGGGGUUGCGGCCAAAGUGGAAGAGAUUGGUCACUGACUGUCAGAUUGUUCAGUUCGUGUUUAGUUUUGUUGUUUCAGUUUUGAUGCUGUAUUAUCAUUUUGCGGGAUUUGGAUGCUCUGGGAUCUUGGGUUGGUGCUUCAAUGCUGUGUUUAAUGCUUCCCUCUUGACACUUUUUAUUAAUUUUCAUUCCAAGAGCUAUGCUAAGAAAAAGCAGGGAUGAUCAAAACAAAUCGUCGUUGUGAUUGUUCUCUGUGUGUGUUUUUUUUUUGUGGUUAAUUAUGAAUGGUUGUGAUCGGUUCAUUGCAUUUGACAGAGAUGUUGAAGGGUUAUGUACUGGAAAAUAGAAAUUAAACCAACAUUAUCACUAUAACUGGUACAUUAUUACCAUCACAGAUCAAGAUCUGAAUGGACGCAUAGCAGCCAUCCUCAAAACCAAAGGAGGAGAAAAUUGAACUAGAACAACCACCUUAAGGUGAAGAAGGCCAGAACAAGACACACAUCCUCAAAUCAUAAGGAAGAGGUGGGUGCAACCAAAAAAAAAAAAAAGAAGAAAUCAAGAAUCCACUGGAGAAGGCAAGAAAGAUUUUUGCCUCCGAAGAUUCGGUGAGGAAGAGAUGAGGAGUUUGGAGCGGAAAAGUUUUCGGAGAGAUCUGCAGAUUAGCUUUAAAAGUGUGUUUUAAAGAAAAAGUUGUUGAGAACUUGAGAGGAUACAUAUGCAAUCAAAACUUUACUCUUCAUGUUUGUGGACUAUGUGGAAUGUUUAUCCACUGAGUGUAAUCGUGACGGUUGGAUUGAGUGAUUAAAAUCACACGGCUGAUAUUAGUUGGUUCUAUGUUGGAGUUGAUCCAACAUAGCCGGAGCCUUUAAAUAAAAAACAUUACAACUCAUGCAUCCAAGCACUUAAAGUUGGCUUGAGUGCAUGGGUUGUUGUCAGUUUUCUUCCUAAUUAAAUUAGGUAGGGAUAAAAUUAUCUCUUUAUUAAUAAGAAUAAAGUAGAUAUCUCUCUCGAUUUUCCUCUUAAUUAAACUGAAUAGGAGUAAAAUUAUCUUCUAAUUAAUAAGGAUAUACUAUAUAUCUCUCUAAUAUUAUGUGAUGGUAGAAAUUUAGGUUGUACGGUAAUAGAAUUAUCAAGGAUAGUCUUGAUAGAAUUAAUGCAAAGAAUUAAGAUAAAGCCUCAAAGAUGGAACAAAGGUUAAAAAAAAAAAAAAGAGUACAAGACAAAGAAAUAAGGAAACAAAAGAAGACCAAGAAUAAAAGAAAACAUAAUUUGGAAAACAAAAAAAUGGAUUGCAAUUUUAAAUUUUGAUUAAGGAUAAAUUGUAGUGGAUGCAAUUGUUGGUAAUUUAUUAUAUUUCAAAGCUCAAAUAAGGAAUAAAAUUAUUAUUAUGAUUAUUAUUAUUUUGCAAUAACUCGUUUCAAAUUUUAAAAGAUUAUAACUUUUUGUUUUUCAACAUUUUAAUCAUAAAUUAAAAAGGAGUUACUAUUCAAGAUUCCUAAGAAUACUGAAAAAAAUGAUAAAUAUUAUUCUAAGAAAAUGAUAUAUAUUGGAUAUACUGAAAUAUUAUAAAUUAUUAAAUAUUUUACUAUUUUACCCCUUAGUUUGAUGUUUGGGGAAAAAAUACUAAAAUGGCUUUCAAUAAAAAGAAUUAUUAUUAAAAAAAUAAGAUUAAAAUUAUAACAAAUGAUAUUAAUAAGAAAGAAACUGAUAAAAAUUUGGGUUUCGAAAUAGGGGUUAAGGCUUCAGUCCUUGAAUUUCUCGACAUUUUAUAUACUUUUAAUUUUUAACCUGUCAAAUUACAUUAUUAAUGGAAUGUCAAUAAAUUUUGUGCGUUAAUUUUUGUUUUAGAUACUUUAAAAGGUAAAAUGGUAUUUUGGAUGGUAAAAGUCAACUAAUUAAUUAAAUAUUUAUAUUCCUAGGAAAUUAUUUUUUAAAUUUUCAUUGUGGUGAUAUCAUAAAAUAAAUUUGUGAUUAUCAUACUUGUUUUAUAGAUUAAGAUAUAAGUAAAAGUUAAAUUAAUCUUUCAAUGGUUUUUUUACUUUUUUUUUUCUAUAGGGAGUUAUUAUUAAUAAUUUUUUUUGUCGUCUAACUUGAAAUAUAAUAGACCUUAAGGGGCAAAAUAAAAUUAUUCUUGUUAACUCCACGAAACUAUUAAUUAGUUAGGGUUAGGGGCAUUCUCGUAUUUUUCAAGUCAACAUCAAUUAACUAUUAAAAAUAAUGGCAUUUGGCAGGUAAAUUGAAGUUUUCAUACUUUUGGAGGGUAAAUUGAAGUAUUUCAAUCUAAUAAGGGUGUGGGACGAAAUUUAACUAUAAGUAAAUUAUCCGUGAGGCAUGCUUUUUACAACUUUUGUUUUCUUCUUUUUUUUUCUUUUGAGUUUUUGUUUUUGUUUUACAUGGCAUUGGCCCGACCAGUACAAAUUAAUUUUAGAAUAUUUACAAUUAUGUACCAUAGUUGUGGAGUAGAAUCAUAGAAAUUAAAGAUGGUAAAAUUAUUGACGUGUGGGGUGGGGGAGGAUAACUAUUAACUUUUUUCAUGCAAUCUAAGAAGAAUGCAACUGCUCCUUUGAUUUGGUAUUUUCGUAACAAAAGCACACUGAACAUCUUAUCAAAUUAUUUCUCCUUUUCCUUGUCAGAAUGGCGGAUGCGAUCGCUUCCCCUCUUCUUGGGCAACUGAACUCCUUUGCUGCUUAUGAAUAAGGAUUUGAGUUCCAUUUGUCUUCCUUUUCUUAUUUAGAUUAGAAGGAUUUUAUUAUCAUAUAAUAUUUUGGAUUUGCCUAUUUUGGUAAAUUCCUAAUAUUUAUGUUUCUAUAAAAGUGGUUCAAUACCCAAUUUUGUUUGUUCAAAUUAUUCGCAAUAAAACUUAUUAUUUAAAAACCUGGUUUCUAUUAUCUAAUAGCCUUUUAAUGUUUCCUCAUCGUCAGCUGAUAUUAGAGUAAGUUCGCUUGUUAUCAUGAUGUGACCACACAAAGGAACAACCGUCCCGAAGACAUUCAAGGGAAGUAGACAACGACUGUGGAGGCAGAGCAAAGCUCAGGGAAGGCUAACCCGGGCUGCAGCCCGGGUAAGCUUUUUGAAAAAAAAAAUUAUUUAUAAUUUAUAAAUUUACUUUUAUUAGUAUUUAUAAAAAAAUAAAAACAAACCCAAUAAUUAUAGGAAUCUUUAUUUUCCCCAAAUUACAAUUCAUAAAACUCACCAGUAUCUAACUAAAUCUGAAUUUAAAAUUCACCAAAAUUCAAUUGCUCAAGUCUCUUACCGUUGCUGAAUACCCAGUCUCCUGCGCUCGAAUUGACGCCUAGCCACUGCCUCAUGAGUGACGCCGAACCACUGCCGCAAGGCCCGCACCCACAGGUUGAAUCUCUUACCGCUGAGCCGACGCCGAAUGCCCAGUCUCUUGAUGCGGCCCCUGGUACAAAGCACUUUGCCUUUUAAACUUUAGUUUAUAGAAUAUAAUAUGAUUUUAUGAUAAUGAUGGUUGGCACACGAAGUGGAAUUGUGGAAGACUGGAAGUUGUUGAUUUUGUGAACUGUGAUUCAUCUUUUUAAAAUUAUAAAAUAAUAGAAUGUGAAAAACGGUGAUGAUAGCAUAUAAAGUGGAACUGUGAAAGGUGUUGAUUCAUCUUCUUGUAAUUAUAAAAUAAUGAUGGCAUGAAAGAAUGAGUGAAUAAAAUAGUAAAACAAUUAAUUUGAAUGCUGACUUUUUUAAUUAGCUUUUAACUUGCGAUUUUGUCAAAUUUUUUAUAAAACAAAUACUAAAUUUUUAAUGUAUUUUAUUAUAGAUUCAAUGUUAAAUAAACCAAGGAAAACUCUACUUUCUUUUUUUAAGAGAGUAGGUGAAAAUCAAUCAUCCACCAAGUCUUUAUCUCCAUGUCAAGUUAAUGCUCAAGAUUCCAGUGAGCAACAUACUUCCAAGUUUCAAAGGGUUGAAGUUGAAGAAACUAGAAAUACUUAUCUGGAGUGUGAUCUUGGAUUACGUCAUCAAAUAGGGACGUAUUCAGUAAAUCAACGUGAUGAUAUUAGAAGGGAGUACAUCAAAAUGGGACCUUAUCAUCCUAAACUACGAGAUUAUCCACUAACUAAUGAUGGCAUGCAAGAACGUAGGUUUCACUGUCACUGGUUUAAAAAAUUUCCAUGGCUUGAGUACUCUGAGGUAAAAGAUAGUGCAUUUUGUUUUCCAUGCUUUCUUUUUGAUGAAAUUCCAUCAAACAACCCAAAAUUUUUUAUUGAAGGAUUUUCUAGUUGGAAGAGAGUCAACAAUGGAAAAACAUGUCCUUUUUUAUAGCAUGAAGGGGGUCCAUCUUCUCAUCAUAAUGAGAAUAUGCAGAGUUGGGGUUGUUUGAGGAACCCAAUUCAACACAUUGAUAGAUUAAUUAAUGCCCAAACUUCACAACAACUUUUGGAGAAUAGCCUACGAUUGAAGACCUCAAUUAUUGCAGUUAAAUGGUUAGCAAAGCAAGCAUGUGCUUUUAGAGGUCAUGAUGAACUAGUUAAUUCAAGAAAUCGGGGAACUUUCAUAGAGUUGAUAAAGCAUUUAGCGGAGUGUAGUAAAGAAAUUACUCAAGUUGUCUUGGAAAAUGCUCCAUCGUAUGCUAAGUAUACAUCGUCUGACAUUCAAAAAGAGCUUUUAAAUAUUCUUGCAAACAAAGUGAGAAACAAGAUACGCAAGGAACUUGGAGAUGGUAAGUUUUGUAUUUUAGUAGACGAAGCACUUGAGGAAUCAGAUAAAGAGCAAAUGGCUAUUAUUUUAAGGUAUGUGUGAUUGUGAUGGAUAUAUUCGAGAACGUUUUUUUGAAGUUGUCAAUGUCAUGGAAACUACAGCAGUAACAUUGAAAAAAGAAAUAUGUAAUGUUCUUGCACGAUAUGAUCUUUUAGUUGAAAAUAUCCGAGGGCAAGGGUAUGAUGGUGCUAGUAACAUGCGGGAUGCAUGGAAUGGAUUACAAGCAUUAUUUUUGAAAGAUUGCCCAUAUGCAUAUAAUAUACAUUGUUUUGCACAUCAACUACUUGCUUUAGUUGCAGCAUCUAAUGAUGUGCCAGAUGUAUGGCUUUUCUUUUCAGCAUUGGGUUCAAUUGUAAAUGUUCUGACUUCAUCUGCUAAAUGACUUUCUGAGUUAAAAUCUGUUUGGGAAGCAGAAAUAAUAGAUUUGAUAGCUUCAGGAGAAGUUCAAACUGGUACAGGGGCCAAUCAAAUUUAUACUUUGCAACGGCCUGGGGCUACUUGGUGGAGCUCUCAUUUCCGUUCUAUCAGUAGGUUGCUUGAUUUGUUUAGUGUUGUUCGUAACGUUCUUAGGAAGUUGGUAGAGUGUGGACCUAACAAUAGUAUACGUGGAGAGGCUAAAGGUGCAUGUGAAUCAAUGACAUCUUUUAAAUUUGUGUUCAUUUUGCAUUUAUUAAAUAAAGUUUUGGGGGUGAGUGAUUUACUUUGUCAAGCAUUACAAGUUAAAUCUCAAGAUAUUCUAAAUGCUGUGCACUUAGUCUCAACUACGAAAAAACUUCUUCAAAGGCUGCGAGACAAUGGUUGGAAAACUUUUAUUGAGAACGUAGUUUUAUUUUAUGAAAAGAAUGAGAUAGAUAUGCUUGAUAUGAAAGCUCGCCAUAUGAAAGGCAGAGGACGUUCUUGUCAGCAGAAUAAUUAUAUUAUAGUUGAGCAUUAUUAUCAUUAUGAUAUAUUUAAUACUGUGAUAGAUUUUCAAUUGAUGGAGUUGAAUAAUAGAUUUAUUAAACAGACUUUGGAACUCCUCACUCUUAGUUCAGCUUUAAAUCCUAUUGAUGCAUUUAAAUCAUUUAAAAUUGAAGAUAUUUGCAGCCUUGCUGAAAGAUUUUAUCCUGAAGAUUCACUAAGAUUGAGUUACAGGCUUUGAGAAGACAAUUAGAGUGCUUUGAGAUAGAUAUACACUCUCUUCUAGAGUUUCAGAAUAUUACUUCCCUUUCUAAACUGUGUCGAAGAUUGGUUGAGACUAGAAAGUCACGGAUUUAUUUCUUGUUGGAUAGAUUAAUUCAUUUAGUGUUAACCCUUCCUGUUUCAACAGCAACAACAGUUGAGAGCAUUUUCUGCCAUAAAACUGAUUAAGACAAUACAUUGAAACAAGAUGGAGAAUGUGUUUCUUUCAGAUUGUAUGGUUAUUUACAUGGAAAGAGAAAUUACAAACAAUAUUGACUCAGAUGCGAUAGUAGAUGAAUUUUUUUUUUGAAGAACCGCAGGACACAUCUUCAUCAAUAGUGUUUUUCUUAUUUACAUUGUAUUUUUAUAGUUUUAUGGUUAAAUUUUUGCGCUUAUGUAGUGUGCUUAAUUUCAUUUAUAUAAAACAAUUUUUUUGGGAAGUAAAUUUCAUUUUUUUUUAAAUCUAGCCCACCCAAACAAAUGAUGCUAGCUUCGCCAUUGGAGGUUAUCAGAUAGAUGGUCAAAGAAGCAAUCUUGUAAGUCAUGGAGUAUGCAUAUAAUGUAAGAAUGGCAACAGACAAAUAUCAGGUUAUCUCUUGUAAACCAUAUUGAUAAAUCUAAUGAGGGAAAGAUAUUUUUUUUUUGUCCUAGAUGACGUGUGGGAUGGAAGUUACAAUCAAUGGGAACCAUUCAUCUAUUGUUUAAAGAAUGGUCUCUACAGUAGUCAAUUUUUUGAUUACUACACAUCAUUAGAUAGUAGCAAGCAUUAUGAGAUUAACAAAUAUUAUUUUUAUUAAGGAAUUAACUGAAGAAGAAUGUUGGUCAUUGUUUAAGCAAGUAGUAUUUUUUGGUCAAUUUUUUAAGGAUAGUGACCAAAUGAUAAAAAAAAUUGCAUGCAAGGCCUGCCUCUUAUUGCAAUCCAAACUAAACUUGAAUUUUUGAUUUGAUACAAUCCAAUCUGAAUAUUCUAACCCAAUCAACCUAAAAUCCGAUUAAGUUAAUCUGAACACAAAUUUGCCCACUCCUGGCGAGGAUCAUGACCCUACAAGCUUUGAAAAAAUUUGAGGUUUCGAAGUGAAAUAUUAAAAAUUAGGUAUAAAAAAACUGAUUUGACCCCUAAGAACUUGAUAUAUAAAAGAUGCAGAGCAGAGGCAAAUGAAGCUCGACGAAGUUGUUACUGAUUGGCUGGAUGAGCUCAGAGACGCAUCCUACGACAUGGAGGAUGUGUUGGAUAAGUGGAUCACUGAAACACGGAAAUUGCAGCUUGAUGAGGGCGGCGAUGAUGACGAUGCUCUUGCUCUUGCUCCUCCUAAGAAGAAGGUAUGUUCCUUAUUUCGUGCUGCCUCAAACUACUUAGCUGGUUUCAAACAACUCAUUCUUCGUGAUGAUGUUGCUGUCAAGAUUAGCGAAAUCAGUGAAAAGCUAGAUGGUAUUGCCACUCGAAAAGAUAUGUUUAACUUUGUUGAGAAUGUGAGUAACAAUGUUAAGAAAACAGAGCAAGUGCCAACCACCUCCUUGAUUGAUGAGGGAGAGGUUUUUGGUAGAGAUGACGAGAAAAAUGAGCUGUUUGGUAAGUUGUUGGGUGAGAGUGGCGAACAACAUCCUCAUAUCAUCUCACUGGUUGGGUUAGGGGGUAUAGGUAAAACCACUCUUGCACAACUAGCCUAUAAUAAUGAUGAGGUGAAAAGAAAUUUCGAAAAAGUUAUAUGGGUGUGUGUAUCAGACACUUUUGAUGAGAUGAGGGUCGCCAAAGCAAUCAUUGAAGGUCUAGGCGAGUCAGCUUCUGGUUUAAGCCAAUUCCAAUCUCUUAUGAGCCAUAUCCAUAGAUCAAUUAAAGGAAAAAAAAAUUUAUUGUCUUAGAUGAUGUAUGGGAUGGGAAUUAUAAUAUAUGGGAUCAAUUUUUCUUUUGUCUAAAGAAUGGUCUUCCCGGAAGUAAAAUUUUGGUUACCACACGUAAUGAGUCAGUUGCAAAUAUGAUGCGAACAAUAGAGUUAGAUAUUAUCUCCAUUGAACAACUAGCUGAAGAGGAAUGCUGGUUGUUGUUCAAGCGGUUGGCAUUUUUCGGUCGCUCUUUCGAGGAUUGUGAAAAAUUAGAACCAAUCGGGCGAAAAAUUGCACGCAAGUGCAAAGGCCUGCCUCUUGCUGUAAAGGUAAUAGGGAAUCUCUUGCGCUCUAAACGUACAGUAAAAGAGGCAAAGAAUUUUAGAGAGUGAAAUGUGGAAGGUAGAAGAGAUUAGGGAAGGUCUUUUGGCUCCUUUGUUGUUGAGUUAUAACGAUUGCCCUGUAAUUCUAUGGUAAAACAGUGUUUCUCAUAUUGUGCUGUCUUUCCAAAAGACUAUAAUAUGGAUAAACAUGAAUUGAUUGAUAUGUGGAUGGCUCAAGGUUACCUUAAUGCAGAAGAAGACGAAGACAUAGAGAUGAUUGGAGAAGAGUAUUUCAACAUUUUAGCAGCACGCUCUUUCUUUCAAGAGCUUGUGAAAGAUGAUGAUAAUAAUAUUAUGAGUUGCAAGAUGCAUGACAUAGUACAUGAUUUUGCCCAAUUUGUAGGUAGAAAAGAAUGUUUGUGGCUAGAAAUUAAUGGUACCAAGGAAUCAGUCAUAAACUUUUUUGGUGAGGAAGUCCAUCACUUAAGGUUAAAGUUUGAUGGAGAUACUUCAUUUCCUAUGUCUAUUCAUGGGCUUAAUAGAUUGCGUACCCUAUUAAUUUAUGAUGAAAGUCCUUACAAUCCGUCUCUUAAUAAUAGCAUCCUUCCAGAGUUAUUUAGUAAAUUGGCGUGUUUGAGGGCAUUAGUUAUAAGGCAGUCCCCAUUUUUUUGUCCAAAGUCGUUCCUAUAUUUUCAUUCUGACAAAAAUUGGAUUAGAGAAAUUCCAGAAAAUAUUGGAAAAUUGAUGCAUUUAAAAUAUCUUAAUUUGUCUGGACUGUGUAUAAAGAGACUACCUGAGACUUUGUGCGAAUUAUAUAAUUUACAAAAGCUAGAUAUUAGGCGGUGCCGAAAUCUUAGAGAAUUGCCAGCGGGGAUUGGGAAGUUAAAGAACACGAGGAGUUUACUGAAUGGUGAAACUUAUUCGUUGAAAUACAUGCCAGUAGGGAUUUCCAAAUUAACCAGCCUUCGAACAUUAGAAAAGUUUGUUGUGGGUGGAGGUGUUGAUGGUGGCGGCACGUGUAGGCUUGAAUCUCUGAAAAAUCUUCAACUCCGUGGUAAAUGUAGUAUAGAAGGGCUGAGUAAUGUGUCACAUUUAGACGAGGCUGAGAGGUCGCAACUUUACAAUAAGAAAAACCUCCUUCGUUUGGGUCUUCAGUUUGGUGGAGACGUAGAAGGGAGGAGGAAGAACGAGAAAGAUAAACAACUUCUUGAAGCCUUACAACCGCCUUUGAAUGUAGAGGAAUUAGUGAUUGUAUUCUACGGAGGCAACAUUUUUCCCAAAUGGUUGACUUCGCUAACCAAUCUAAGGGAACUAAAACUUUCCUCGUGCGUUAACUGUGAGCAUUUGCCUCCUCUGGGAAAAUUGCCUCUGGAAAAACUCCAACUAAAGAACUUGAAAAGUGUAAAAAGAGUGGGUAAUGAGUUUUUGGGAAUAGAAGAAAGUAGUGAGGAUGACCCAUCUUCAUCUUCAUCUUCAUCUUCAUCUUCAUCGUCAUCAUCAGUUAUUGCCUUCCCCAAAUUGAAAUCACUCAAAAUUGAUGGAAUGAAAGAACUGGAAGAGUGGAAUUACAGGAUUACGAGGAAGGAAAAAAUCUCUAUCAUGCCACGUCUUUCUUCCUUGAAAAUUGGUUCUUGCAACAAAUUAAAGGCGCUGCCGGAUUACCUUCUUCAAACGACGGCACUGCAGGAACUGAGUAUUUAUUUUUGUGAUCUUCUAGAAGAACUGCCCAUUCUAGAAGAUCGCAGGACAACAGACAUACCGCGUCUUUCUUCCUUGACGAUUUGGUAUUGCCCCAAAUUAACGGUGCUGCCGGAUUACCUCCUUCGAAUGACGACGCUGCAGGAAUUGACGAUUUGGUAUUGUCCUCUUCUGGAAGAACAUUAUGGAGAGGGGAAAGGAGAAGACUGGCAUAAGAUAUCUCACAUUCCCCACAUCAAGUGGUCGCCGUAAGAUAUCACUCGCUGGUAAUUUCUCCUCCUCUGAUUUACUUUGUUGUUGCUUGCAAUGAAAUUAAUAAAAAUAAUUAUAUUUUGAAUUAAAAUUCUGUAUAUUGCCAAUGCCUGACAGGAAUAUAUAAUAUUUUCUAAUAUUUUGAUUUGCGUAUUGAAUUUAACUAUUUACUUGAACCAUUAAUUUAAUGGAUCACUCUAUGAUACUGUUACAAAAAUUAUAGAAUCAAUUAUAGUAUAAAUAUGUACUGUUAGAUUUAAUCAAUAGUUCAUAAAGUUAAAAGUUAGUUAAGAUAAUAUUUUAAUUUUAGUUAUUUAAAAUUUAAACUUCCUAGUUAUCAAAUAAGUUAAACUUGUUUUCUAAAGAUUAAAUAAUUAAAAAUACAAGUUUAGUCUGUUGAAAUUUCUGUAUUUUCUUUUAAAAUAUAUGCAGUCUUUUGUAAAAUUUCAUAUAACAUCAUAGAAAAUCCUAACGUAUUUUAUUUUUUAAUGCACGGAAAUUUGUUAUGUGUAACUUCCUGAGAGACAAAAUCUCUGUGAUACAUUUGCAGUAAUGUUGAAAACUAAAUUAUCAAUUUUAUCUUGUAUAAUGAUAAUCGUAUUUUUUUAUAUAUAAUUUAUGUGACAUUAAUUCUUUAAAGUAAUUGUGUAAUUGUUUUUACUACAUUAGCCCUCUUUGUUUUAUUAAAUACGAGUUUAAUUAUGUUCAUCAGGGAUUCGAGGAAAUGUCAGAACCACACUAGCAAUUCGCAGGUCCAAGCUAAUUUGGUUUUAAUAAUGCAGGCAGGAGAGCAAGACUAUGAAAAUGAAAAAUUUAGCCAAAGGAUUGCUAAAAUGUUUUGCUGGUAAUUCACUUGCUUUAUUUUAUAGAAUUUCAUUUCCAUCUUCUUCUAUUGAUAUCUUGUUGUGAAUAAACAAGAACAGAGAAGUAAAGAUAUAUAUGAAAAUUCCCUAUUAGGAUGAUGCUAAAGCAAGCUCAAGCUCAAGCAUUGCAUUUUUAUUUUAUUUAAUUUAUAGAAUUUUCAUUUCUACCUGCAUUGCAUUUUUGUUUCAUUUUUUGGUUGACUUUGAAAACUCUAUGGAGAACAUUGGGGUAACCAAGGAUUAGGCUGGCAGUGGAACGACUACCACUGUGGUUAUUGUGCAACGUUUUGUCUGCUCUGUUUCAAUUGAGGAUGGAUAGCUGCCUGAAAGACAUGAUGAUUAUUAUUGCAUGAUGUUAAGGUGCUAAGAUUAUCAUUUCUAUCUUUUUUCAUUCUUUGAUCGGUUUAUCCUAUAUAAACAUAUGGAAUUAUGCUAAUAUUAUCAAAAUUUCCACCCAAUUUUCACUGUUGGUUGUGAUAACAUUUUCAGGCUCUCAAAAGCUACAAAACAAAGCAUUUGUGGGCUGAUAAUUUCCACAAAUUUGCAUUGUCAGAAUGCACUGUAAUGUUCAUUGUGUUCCUAUGUGUUAUCAGGUUAUCGUGGUAUGUAAAGUAUCAUCUUUAAGGAUUUGUAAGAGACUUUGCAGUGAACUUAGUUGUCACCAGCUCCUGCAAUUGCUCAUUCAUUCAAGAGUACUUCAAAAUUAGAUUUUCAAGGUUUGUAUGUUUAGUUGCGAUCAAAACAUUUAGUCACUCAUUCUUAAUCUUUUCUGAUUUUCAAGUUCUUUAAGGCCAUAAACAGUUUUCCAACUCAUUCUUAAUUUUUAGGUUGAUUUCGAGUACCCUGUUGAGGACAUUCCUGAGACCAAGGAUUAAGCUGGCGAGGGAACUGCUACCUCUGUUGUUAUUGUGCAAGGUUUGAUCAUUGGACCUUGAAGAAGAAUGCCUUACACGCAUUCUGUAAUUCAAGCAUUUUCUAAAGGAAAAGAGCAGUAGAAGGGAUAGUGAUGGCCGGAUCUGCUCUAUUUCAGUUGAAGAUCUCUGUGAUGUCGAUGAGCUUAAAGCAGUUGAUACUUCUUGAAAAUUAUUAUUACGGAUGAACUAAUUCCUGAAGACAGGUAUCCAAAUGCGUAUUUUCUUAAACUUCCAUUUUUAACAAAUGUUCCAACACUUGCUGGAGUAACAAUUUCAUAGCUUGCAUCUCUCGGGUGCAUCAUGUUCAGGGGUUGGAAAAAGCAUUUGUGGUAAAGCUUCAAAGCUUGUAAAAUGGCUGUGAAAAGGCA